rnacentral:lncRNA from 1 species
ACAAUUUUUACUAAAAUGAAAUAAUUUAUUCAAUUUAUAUACAUAUAUAAGAUAAAUUUUAGAUAUGAUAUAUGUGAUAGCCAAUUUUGGCCCGGUCAAGUAAAAAAAUAAAGAAACCCAAAUAAAAGUCCAAUUUCUUUAGUCCAUUUACAAUAUGUGUGACCUAAAUUACUAAACUCAACAGGCCCAAACCAAAACUCUAUUAGCCUAUUACCAAAACUAACCCUAAUAGCCCACUAUCUUUAUUUUUUUUCAGCAGCCACCAACCCUUCCCCAAGAUGCAGCAGCUGCUCAGCCCCCAUGCGCGCCGCCUCGCCUUUUCACCAGCCAACCACCAGCCUUUCACUCCUCUGACACCUGCAAUCAAAUCCAACACAACAACAGAGAGCAUGCAGAAGAAAUAAAUAGCUAAAGAACAAAAAAACAUAGAACGAACAGUUUGUAAAUUGGCUUUUAAAAGCCAAAAUCUAUACUUGUAAUUUUUUUUUACGAACAUUGGAAAUCAAAAAACACAAAAGGUUGAUAUCUGAUUCUUCUCUCUUUGUUUUUUAUUUUAUUUCGUUUCCUUUUAUUUCUCUAAUAUUUCUUUUGAUUUUAAUACAAAUCUAUUAAAUCAAAGUAGAUAUAAAACAAAUAAUAAGGAAGGGAGAAGGCCUUACCGGAAUCGCUCGUCGUUUCAUCGCCGGAGGGUUCUCCUUCGUCGUCGGGAUCGGGCCGAAUAAGGAAGGGAAGACCUUUACUUUCGCAACUUUUGGGCUGAGAAGGCUCCGCCUUCGGGGACGCCUUGAAACGUGGCUUAAAGCCCGCCCUUGCGCGUCGUCGGCCGUCGUGUUCAGUGGCGGUGCGGCGGUGGGAUGGUGCCUCCCUUGGUCGGCCAAACAAAAGGCUACAAGGGAGGAGAGAAAAGCUGCUGUUUUUUUUUUCUUUUUCUUUUUUUUUAAACCUAGGGCUAAAAUGAAACAAGCACAAAAUUUAGCCUUUUAUCAAGCUACCAAACGACACCAUUUAGAAAGGGGAGGGGUCCGCAUGUCUCCUUUGAAUGGGAAAUUACCCGCUUUGGUCCCUCCCAUUUUUCCUGAUAUUUGAUUUAGUCCCGAUUUCCUUUUUUUUUCUUUUUAAAUCUAGCCCGAUCAUUUUAUUCCCUCUCUGAUUUGGUCCCUGAUCUGGACUAAUGAAACACAGCGUAUAGACUUGGGACAUUACUCAAAUUGGUCCUCGCAAGUCUCGGCGCGUUUCAAUUUAGUCCCUGGUGGCCCCUUUUUUAUUAUUUCAAAUUUAUACCCUGGAAUUUUGAUUUGUUUUCAUCUAUAUCCUAAAUUCAUUUAAUUUAUUCUCUUUACAUCUAUCUUAAUUUGUUUAAUAUACUGUUUGUUCAUAUCAUUAUUGUUUGUUGUAACUCACUUUAAUAUGUUGUUUAUUCUAAUUAUUACUUUAUCUCAACUUACUUUAUGUAUGUAUUAUUUAUUUUAUAAUCCUUACUUAUCAUAUUUGUAUAUAGAUAUAUAUGCCAUCUAUUUCAAGUUUCUGUAUGUGUGCUAUUAUUUCAAAACUGCUUCGCUAUAUACUUAUUUCAAAUUAUAUUACGUUGUUUAUUCUUUAGUUAUUAUGUAUUAUGUAUAUCUAAUAAUUCUUUAUAUAUUAUAUCUAAAUCGUUAUUAUAAAGUAUACUUAUAUUGUCUAUUUUUAAUUCUUUUACGUAUCAUAUAUUUUAAACUUCUUAUUAAUUACUUUUAAAUUAACUUAUAUAUUAUUUAUUUUAAAACUAUUCAUAUAUGUCAUUCUUUAAUUUGCUUUGUGUAUUAUAGAUUUUAAAAUGCUUUAUACAUUAUUUAUUUUAAACUUGUUUUAUGUAUUAUUCAUUUUAAAUUGUUUUAUUGUUUACUUUAAUUUCUUUUCCCUAUAUUAUCAAUUUCAAAUUUUUAUAUGUAUUAUCCAUUUUUAUAUAUACCCUUUUUAAAUGUUUUGUAUGUUACUCAUUUUAAAUUUCUAUCUACAUAAUAUUUAUUUUUGACUUAUUUUUAUUAUUCAUCAUAAACUAUCUUAUAUAUUAUCUAUUUUAUACUGUUUUGGUUUUACAUAUCAUUUUAAAUUAUUAUAUACAUGUUAAUCAUUUUACAUUGCUUUUCAUUUAUUUAUUUUAGACCUUUUUAUAUAUCAUUUUUGAAUUACUUAUUAUUUUAAAUUUAUAUAAUGUUUAUUCUUAAACUGUCUUUUUGUAUAGGGCAUUUAUUUUCAAAUUUUCAUAUGUUUUUAUCUUAAACUCCUUGAACAUUGUUUAUUUUUUUUUAUGCAUAUAUUUAUGAUAAGUUUUUAUGCUAUGUAUAUUAUUUAUUUUGAACUUCUUUUUAUGUAUUAUGAUUUUAAACUUUUCAUUAAUGAUUUUAGAUUUUUUUUAUUUUACUUUAAACUGCCUUUAUAGUAUUUAUUUUAAAAUCCUUAUGUAUAUAUUUUAUAUUUAAGAUUAUCUAUUUGUUUGAUUUAAAUCAUUUUAUAUUAUUAACUCAUUUCUAUGUUUAUUAAGCUUGUUAUUUAAUUGACAUAUGUUAUGUUAUUGCCAUUGUGCGUGUUAUAAUUCGUUUAUUCGUAUUUCCAUUAUUGUCAUUUGCUCGCGUAGUACUUUAUUCAUGUAUCAUCACUCUAUGUCGCAUCAUAUUUUUAUUUCUUAUUAUCGCCUUAUGAAUUAAAUUUCGCUACAUUUAUCUAAUAAAUCGCUUCGUUUUAACCUAAAUAAACAACACAUGUUGCUCGAAUAUUAUAUUCGUUACUAUUCAAAAACAAAAUUUUCCAAAUAAGGCAAUGUUAUGCAUUUUGAAAUAUCGAGGAAUUGUGCCCUAACUUACGGGGUUUCGAUUUUCUCGUUGUUUCUAAAUGGCUAAAUAUCCUUUUCAAGUUUUAAAACACGAAACUCUCAUUUAAAUUAAAAGACGACCUUGUGUUCGGGAAUUCAUGGUAUUGUGUCCUAACUUACGGGAUGUGAUACUCUGAUAUCUCGAGAUAAGGAAAUCUUUAAACAAAUUGUUUUUAGCUAAUUCAAAAAUUUUAAAAUCGAUAUUUAAAGAAAAGAUCGUAUUUUAAAUUCAUUCCCGAUUUUCGAUUUUCGACAUUAAGACACUAACUAAUCAAUUCGGUACCAAUUCUUGGGCGUGUCGAGGGUGCUAAUCCUUCCUCGCACGUAACCGAUCCCCGAACUUGUUCUCUUAAAAUUCGUAGACCGAAACACUGUUUUAGUAAACUAAAAUGUUUUAUUAAAACAAAGGUGAUUCGAUCACACGUAAUAAGGACCGGUGGCGAUUCCCGUUUUAAUUUUCGUUUUCAAAAUCAAGUCGAUUCCCGUUUUUUCAAAAAAAUAGUUUCGACAAUAUAAAUAUAAAUUAAAAAAUUCUAAAUACAAUAUACAAAGAAAAAUAACAUGAAUACAUAAAUUAUUGAGUGUCCUAAUCAAUAUAAAAAAAAUCAUUACGUAUAUAUAAAAUUCUAUAUAUUAAUUUAUAACACUUUAAGAACAAAAAUUAAUACCUAUUAUGAAGAAAUAAAAAAUUCUCUCAAGAUUGAAUCAUUAUUAAAAUUUAUGUAAAAAUAUGGACUGAAAUAAGAUAAGACACAAAUAUAUUGUUAACACACUAAUUUUUAUCUAAAUUAAAUACUUAAAAUAGGCAAUACAAGAAAAAAAAGAAGAAGAGAUGAAUUGAUAUACGGUAUAAACAUAAUAAGAAAAAUUAAUUAAAAUAAAAUACGAAAAAUAACAUGAGCAUGAUACAAAUUAGAGGUGUUCAUGGGCCAGGUUCAACUAAAAAAUUAUGUCCAUUUUUGGCUUGGGUUCAAAAAACGGGCCUAAAAUUUAACCCAAGCCCGACCCGGACAAAAAAAACUAAAACUCGAGCCCAUCCCGGCCCGCCCGUAUUAAUUUUUUUAUAUAUAUUAUAUUAUUUAUAUAUAUAUAGAUAUAUAGAUAUAUAUAUAUAAAAUACAUCAAAAAUACUAAAAACAUCAAAAUAAAUAUUUCCUAAUAAAUUGAAAAUAAAUUUUAAAAAAUAUAUAGACUUAAAUAACACUAAGAUAGAUACAACUUAACAAGAAAGUGCCUCUAAAAUAAUAAUAAAAAUUAACAAAUGCUUUAAAAUAAUAACAAAAUUAACAAUAAAAUAAGUUUUAUAUAAUAUCCAAACAAUAACAACAAAAUAGUAGCAACAUAAUAAUAAAAUGAUAGCAAAAUAGGGAGAAAACAACAAGAAAAUAACAUUAAAAAAUUUAAAAAAAUUACAGAACUUUUUGGCCUUUUUUAAACGGGCUUUAAUUUUUUGUCCAAACACAUAUUUUGAACCUAUGUUUUGCCCAAACCCUCCUACAUUUCGGGCGGGCCUUUGGGCCGGGCAUGAACACCUCUAAUACAAAUGUAAAAAAGCAUUCAAAAAUAUAUAAAAAUAAUUUAUUAAGAUGAAAACUUUGAACAAAAAUAAUAUCACGAAUAUGAACAUACAAAUAAUUCUUUAAAAUUAUGUAUAUCAAAUAUAAUAUGGAAAAAUAAUUAGCAUAAAAAAACUGAAUAGAAUGCAAGUACGAAAGCAUGUCAAAAUCUAUACGAGUAUAUAGUAUUUUGAAUGAAUAAAAAGUGAUAAAUAAAUAAAUAAAAACAUGUAUAUGAAUAUCUAUAAUAAAAGGAAGACUUAGGUCAUUCUUAGAUGACAACAAUCCAUAAUUUUUUUAUUAUAUACAUAUAAGAUAAUAAUUGGAUUUCAAUUUUGAUCUUUUAUUUGUUUUCGAAUUAUAUAAUAAUGAUUAAAUUUCAAUUUUAGUUUCUAUAAUAUAUUCAUAUUUAACAUAUUCAUAUUUGAGACUUAAUAUCUAUAUUUUAGUUUUUGACAUAACUUAAUACCUCAACUUUUAUAAGGUAAUGUCUUUUUUAUAUGACAUGCACCUAAAAUUUUUUUUACAUAAAUUUUAAUUCUGAUCCAUUUACUUCUUUUUCUUUUUUGAGAUUAUAUAACAAUUACCAAAUUUCUGUUUUGGUAUCUACAAUAUGUUCAAAUUUAAUAUUUAAUAUGUAUUCUACAUAAUUUGGUAACUCAACUUUUAUAACGACAUUAGUUUAACUACCUCAAUUUGUAUAACGACAUUAGUCCAAUUACUUUAUUAUAAUUAAAAUGUUAACAUGGAUUUUAAGAAUUGCUAACGUUGUUAAAAUUCUUUGUUAAAUUUAAGUCCAUUACAAAAUCUUUUUUUUUUUGUCAUAUGACUACCAAGUGAACAUUUAAAAAAAAAUUAAAUUGUUACACCAACAAAUUUAACUAAAAAUCUUAACGGUAUUAAUAGUGUUGUCCAUUUAUCAAACUCAUCAGUAUUUAUGGCUUAUGAAAACGAAACCUAAGCCAAAAUCUAAUUCUUACAAAUAAAUCACAUAAUCAUUAAGAAUAAACGACCUCUAUGAGUUAAUUUCUUCUAAGGAUGUUUCAUUAUUUAAAUGUUGUGCAACAUUAUUAGGACCUUCAUUUAUUAUCGGAAUAGCAUUUAUCAUAGAAGUUGAUAAAGGAACAUUUAUAAAUAUAGAAGAUUUUGCUCUAGUUUCUUGUAUACUUAACCACACUUAUUAACUUCAUCAUUUGCAAGGAAUCUAGCAUUACUAAUUUCUAUGGUUCUUAGACGAUGGUUUGAAAUGUGAAACAUAUAUCCUUUAUAUUUCUCUUGAUAAUUGAUAAUAUAUCCACUCAUUGUACGAUAUUAUGCAUCAUCGUUUUUGCUUGAUAACCUUAAAUAUGUAGGUGCCUCAAGUUGGGUUUCCUUCCACUCUACAACUCAAAAUGAGUUCUAUGUACUAUCUUACUAAGAACCUCAUUUAACAUGUAUGUAUGAGUUUUGAGCACAUGCAUUAUUAAGUUCAAGUAUGCAUUUCUAGAACACGAUUUUCUUAUGUGUGCUUAGCAUAGUAUAUUGUAUAGAUAUGUCACAACUUUUAAGGAAUUUUACAUAUGGAUUUGAACAUUCUCUUAAUUAAAUAUCUUUCUCAUAAUAUUCAUCACUUUUAUCUGAUCUUACUAUUUCUACAUUUCUAUCUAAGUGUCUUUCAACCUCAUUAAUGUAUAUUUCAAGAAUAUUUAUUGGUUAAUAUUAUUUAUUAAGUAAAUGAAUAUAAUAAUAUCAUGAAAAAUCAUCAAUAAAUGUGAAAAAUAUUUUCCAUUAAAAUAUGAAACAUCAAAACGUUUAUAUAUAUAUGUAUGUAUAUUAGUGUGUAUCAUUUCAAGAAUACUUUCUUAGUAUGCUUGGUUUACUUUUCUUUAAUACAAUUCAUACAAAUAGUAAGAUCGGUAAAAUUUAUAUUCGGUAAUAUCCAAUUAUUUACCAACCUUUCUAGUCUUAUCUGAAUGCAUGAUCAAUAUGUUUAUGUAACGAAGAAAAUUUUUCAUUUAGUAUACUACGUUUUAAUUCCAACAUUGCUCUGAUCAAUAAGUAAGGAAUCAAUUUUUUUUAAAAUUUCAAUUUAUAUAAACCAUACACACUUCAAUAAACUUUAUGUAUUAUUAAUAUUUUAAGGUUAAAUUUUAUUCUUAGUCUUUAUAUUUUACGAAAGUUUAGAUUUAGUUUAUGUACUUUAAUUUGGUCAUUUUUAGUCAUUUUAUUUUUCAAAUUUUAAAUUUUUAGUCCUCGCCAAACAACAAUUAGUAAAUCCAUUCAAAUAAGUUCUACUAUUUCCUAAAUUUGAUACGAGAAACAUAUAACAAUAUGUGUAAUGACAUGUUAGCUUGUUAUUUUCACAUAUUACUCACUAAAAAAUUUAGUUAAUGGAUUAAUGAUUGCGAUUUGUGUUAUGAUUGAAAUUUCAAAAUUCGCUAAGUAUAAGGACUUAAAAUAAUCCAAUUGAAGAAUAUGAACAAAAUCUACAAUUGUAUGCAUAAUACAUUGUAUAUGUAUUAAUUCGAUUAAUACAAAAUUUGAUUUACCCGUCUCUAUCACUGGAUUAAGGUUACAGGAUAUACAGUACAUAAAAAAAUAAAAUCAUGCUAUAUCAAUUCAAAUAUCUCUAAACGAUCAUGAAUCAUCAAACAUAUAGUCAAAAACAUGUUAUUCAUACAAUAUUGGGGUUAAAUCAAACUUAUGAAAGCUCUAAAAAUAAUUCAGAACAAAACAAGGACUAAUCAAAAAAGUGUGGUAAAAAUGCAAAAUAGGGGUUACAUGGUCAUGUGGCCAGGCUGUGUGACAGGUUGAGGCUGUAUGGGGUUGAAACACACAGUUCUAUAGCCAACCGUGUACAAGAGGUCAAGUCAUGUAAAGUAGAGUCACACGGCGCUGUGAGAGACUAUGGUCGUGUAACAAUUUCACCUACCAUUUCAUUAAGAGCACAUGACCAUGCCAGAUGCCCAUAUAAGGCACACGGCCGUGUGUUAGACCGUUUUCACCUAUGGGUACUCUAUAAUACAAGUUACAAACCACAAUCUCUUAUAUGCCAUAUGUGCACUUUAUACCAUUCCUUAAACAAAAUCAAAAUGCACCAAAACAUAUCAAAAAUAUAAUUUAAAAUAUCAUUCUUAUAUGCCUAACGAAUAUGUCAUUUUGGCACCAUCACAGCCAAAACAUUACCAUUACCAAAAUAUUUAACAAAUAUAAAACUAUCUCGAUUCAAUUAUAACUUUCAACCAAACAUAUAAGCAUGUGAUAUCAUUAUGCAUUUUAUCAUGAAUUAUUAAAAAAACCUUACCUUUUUAACAACCUAAGAUAUGCAUUAACACAUACCUAUUUUGACCAUAUAUGUCUCAAGCAAACUUUUAACUUUAUAACAUAUAAAACCCAUCCAAAACUUAACUUCAUUACACACUUACAUGAUUCAAAGUAUCUCACUUGUCUAAUAAACAACCAUCCAUCCAAACAUUACCAUUUCAUAAUUCCUCAUGCCUCAAAGAAAAUUGUAACACCCCUAACCCAUACCCGCCGCCGGAAUAAGGUUUCGGAGCUUUACCAAAACAUUCAAAACAUUUUUCCAUUUAACUUUGUAAAUUUCUAUUCAUUUACCGAGAUCAUUCAUAACGUCUCUUGAUCAGGUCCUCGAGGCCCAAUACAAGCAUUAGAAUUGAAUCGGGACUUAAUCGGGACCUCUAAGAAAUUUUUGCUAAAUUACAAUUUUUUUCCAAGGUGCAAGGCUCACACACCCGUGUGGUCCAAGGGACACGCCCGUGUGACACUGGGACACGCACGUGCUAGAGGCCAUGUUCGACCCCGUGUAAAUCUCUGACUUGCACACACAGCCAUACCACACGCCCGUGUGCUAGGCCGUGUGGUUAAUUAAUUCAAUUUUAAUUAGGUGCAGGUUUCACACGGCCAAGACACACGCCUGUGUUCCAGGCCGUGUGGUACACACGGUUGAGACACAUGCCUGUGCCUCUGCCCGUGUGCCCAAUUCUGAGCAUUUUGUUUCUCAAAAUUUAGGUACAGGGGACACAUGACCUAACCACAUGCCCAUGUUACCAGGCCGUGUGUCACACAUGAUCUAGACACACGCCCGUGUGUCUGUCCGUGUGGAUAAAAUAAAGUCAUUCCUAGCUCCAUUUUUCACCCAAGGUUUCAUCCAAGACCUGCACUUGAGAUACACAACCAAUAGCAACCAAUUCAAGUAUUUAAAUUAGGCAAAUUCAUCAUUAAACAAGGCAUACCACUACAUGCAUAAAUGAUUAUAAAUUUACCUUGGAUUAACUUAGGCAAUAGCAACCUUUGAUAACAUAUUCAUAACAUAUCACAUAUGAACAUAACAUCAUAAUCUACUUAAUCAUACCAAAAUAAGCCAUUACUAGCCAUCCCAAUGGCUAGGUUACAAAAUAACAUUUUCAAACCACUAUUGGCCAAGUUUCUCUAUACAUGCAUUAUACCAAAAUGAUUUGACUAAAUAUACCCAAAAUGCAAGACGAUAGUGUGACGAUGCUCCAGCGAUCUUCCAACCUUCACGAGCUUCUGAGCACUCUAAAACGGGGGAAAAAUAAAAGGAGUAAGCAUUAUGUGCUUAGUAAGUUCAUAUAACAGAAACUAAACUUACCAAUCUUGUUUAUUAAAAUCUAGGCAUACAAGGUUGUGUUUUCAUCCAUUUGGCUAAAUGGCCUAAUCAUAUACAUUCCAUCAAACAUGUUAGUCACCAAACUAUUCAAAUAAAUCAAGUAACAUAAAUGAGCUCAUCAAGAAAUAUUCUUUCAAGUCAUUAUCAAUUCAUCUCAAAGUUCUUGUGCCAUGUCAAGAGUUAUAUGUCCGUUGAAUCGUUGAAAUUUCGAAGAAGGUUUAAAUAACACACUCGAGGUAUACGAUUUAUUAAUUCGUCAAUUCUUAUCAAGGUUGCCCCUUAGAGUACUUAACCAAAGAUCACACUCACAAGCCACGUGUCGUAUAACAAGAUUACCAGUUCAGGCUAAAUCCUUUAUAUAGCGUAUGCUCGCAAGAGCUCAAUUAGGGUUACCAGUCCAAGUUAACCCUAAUCAUAACAUAUGCUCGAGAGGUAUUAUAUCGAGAUUACCCGUCUGGGCUAAAUCUUUUUUUUUUAUAACAAGGUUAUUGGAAUUACUCGUCUGAGCUAAAUCCCGUCCGCAACAAAUGCAGGACCCUACUUGUUUCGGGAAAGCGCACACAAUAAUCGAAAUUCAACAUCCAAUUGGGACUAACCCUUUAUCACCAUUUCAAGUUUAUUUUCAUUUUUCAUCAUAGCAUACAAGUGAAGCACAUCAACGUAAAUCACAUUACCUACAACACAACAAUUAAUUAACAUAAUUACAUGUCCGAUUAAGUUACACGAACUUAUCUCGACACUUGUUUGCAUAAAAGUCUACUAAUCUGAAAUCUUUUCUUUUCUCGAUCUAACCUCGAAUUAGUGUUGUCCAGAUCUAUAUAAAUGAUUUUAAAAAUUAAUUUCAAACUUAGAUGGACUCAAUUUAUGUCCUAGGAAAAAUUACUAUUUUGUCUCUAACUUUUCCAAAAAUUUUGAUUUUGUCCCUAAGCCCUGAAAAUGAAACUUGUACAAAUUACUCCCUAUUCCAAGCCUAACCAAAGCCCCAUUACAAAUUUUCCAGCACAUGUAUUCAUAAAAUUUCAGAAUUUUUCAUCAAAUUUUACAACUUUUCAUUUUAGUCCCUAAAUUUUGUUUUCAUCAAAAAUUACUUUGUAAAAGUUGUUUAUCUAUCAGUAAUUUUUCAUUUUCUACCAUAAAUUUCUAAUUUCCAACAUAAUACAUCCAUGACCAAUUUUCAUACCUUGAUAAAUUUUCAAAUUAAUCCCUCAAAUAGAGAAAUUAAGCUAUACCAAUUUUAAAAAUACCAAAAUUACUAAAAAUGAGACAGGGAAAAUUACCCAAUUAGGCCUUGAAAGCUUCUUUUCUCUCUCCUAGGGUUUCCAUGUAUUUUUAAGGUUGAAUAUGACAAAAUAAGAUGAUAUAAUUCUUUUCAUCUUUUAAUUAAGUAAUAUUUUGCUAUUUCCAAUUUAGUCCUUACCUUUUUUCUAUAAUUUCAUGGAUGAGUCACCAUAAAAAUCUACAUACUUUUAUUAAUGGUUUAAUUACCAUAUAAGGACCUUAAGUUUUGAAUUCCAUAGCUAUUUGAUCCUUAUAGUUACUAGAAUUCAACUUUUGCAUUUUAUGCGAUUUAGUCCUUCUCAUAAUUAAACACUUAAUCGAUAAAAUUUUCAUAUCAAAAUUUUCACAUGUCAUUUCUAAUUUAUUACGGGCCAUAUGAUAAAAUAAAAAUAAAAUAUAUUUUAGGUCCGAUUUGUGGUCCUGAAACCACUGUUCCUAUUUCACUGAAAAAUGGGUUGUUACAAUAAUCACAUAUCAAAAUAACAUGCUUAAGCCAUUCAUUCAUCAACAUGCCAAAUAACAUUUAUAAACAUAUUUAGAAGGAUCAUUUUAAUCACAUUGCCACAUCCACCACAUAGUUCUAAAAUAACCUAUAUGCAUGCCACAAAAACAAAAUAUAAUGAGUCAAAAUCUUCCAAGACUGAAGCUUGAUAGUGUGAGUCUUAAAGUUGAUCGACUGCCUAGUUCUACAAAACGUCAAAUGAAAAAUAAGAAAUGAAACAAAGUAAGCUUAUAAUAGCUUAGUAACUUCAUAUGAAAUUUCAACUUAAAUGCCUUAUCAUUAUAACAAUUUAGGUAUUUGUACUCAAAAACACGAAAUGACAUAUUCUUGGCAUCCUUACUCAUUCGUGUACAUCUCCACAAAAUAAGCAAUAAGUUAGCAUUUCACGUGAUAAGUUCAUAACAUUUGAAUAUGUAUACCUGUAAAAGUAAACUAUUUUACUCAUUCAUAACAUAAUUACAUUUAUGAACCUUAAAUCAAGCUUACGAUGCUUUAAAAAUAGAUUGGGAACAAUCAAUAACUAAUUUGAAACAAAAUAAAAAACUAUAGAAAAUUUUGAAAACAGGGGUUACACAGCCGUAUAAUAGAGCCCAAGUCGUGUGGCUUAAAAACAUGGUCAUGUGGCCAAAUUGUGUACAAUUUGAAGAAAGGGUCACUAUAACUCUUGAAAAGAGUUAUAUUUCAUGCAUUUAGACCUAGCUAAUUGCUUGUACUUAAGUAACAUUUUGUUGCAUUUUUAGGACAUUUUAGUUAGCAUUUUUAAUAUUGCAUUAGGACUUGGACUGUGGUGGAAUUAAGUGUUUUUAAUUGUUUGUGGUGGAGUUUUUUGUUGGUGUGGUAGGAAUAGGUCUUGGAACGAGGAAAAAAGGGAGUGAAGUUUUGUCAGGGCAAAAUGCAGAUAAUUUGCCAGCACAGAUGCCGUGGCAAUGCCGGGAAGACCAAGUCAACAUUUUUCAUAGGACGUUGUGCUGCCGAAGUGUGGACUGGGCAAGUGAAAGCUGUUUCCCAAAGUUCUUCCAUUAUUUCCUUCAAAAGAUUGAAUUGUAAUAGUUUUUUUUAAAUAGAAUGGUUGGGAUUUUAUUCAAAUAGAAGCCUAUAAAGACAGGCCUAACAAAACAAAACAGAAAUUACAACCUAAUGAAGAGGCUAAACAUAAGGGAAACUAGUUUUGAUAAAAAGAAAAGAAAACUGACAAAACAUUAAAAAAAACAUAAAUGAUCCCAACCACCCAGGCAGAUUGUUCAAUUCCAAAGCAUCUGAAAAGCAAAACCCUUCAGUAGCCUGUCAGAGUAUUAUCCUAUCAAUCCUAUCAAUCUGCUUCAAUAAUAUACUAGAAGGUGUUCUUUCAAAAACCACUACACCUCUUCAGAAUCUUGGCACUUCUUUAUCUAAAAAGACCCAAAAAUUCCUCUUCCAGCUAUUUCCUUCCCCUCUUCUAGAACGAGGAACCGAUAUCAGAUGUGGCUUGUACAAUGUAGUUAUCGUCGAUCUACUUCAACAUCAUCGAGUGCAUAGGCAGGAACAUUGCCCACAAGAUAAGUUGCUUCAUUUCUUGUAAGACCAUCUGUAACCAAAGCAUGGGCGCACCGUUUAUAUGCUUUUGUACAUGGUGGAAAACACAGUUUUGGAAAAUCACACAUGACAUACAAAUAUUAUGAAUAUAUUCUACAAUUACUGACUGUUCCCCUUUAUUUUCUUUCAAAUUAUGAAUCCCAGACAAGCAACCUCCUUCGAAUUCUACAUUCAGAAAACCCAUUUGAGCUCCUGUCAAAACCACUUGAAAGCAAGCCAUCGCUUAUGUUGCAAAUGGUGAAGGUAUGUUGGCAUGCAAAAUAAUUUUUGAAAAAAAAUAUUACCUGUGUCGUUUCUAAUAAUAAUCCCAAAACAGGAUCUAUUAUCUUGCUUGCAAAAUCCUGCAUCAAAAUUUAUUUUGACAAAAGGGUUCUGAGGUGCCUUCCACACACCAAUGAGUAUGAUUCGCUCUGCAAUUUUGCUCUUAUCCCUCAUAUUUUCACCCAAAUACUUCUUGAUGAAAUAUCCUAUCUCCUUUACAGUCGCACUUUUCCCUUCAUAUAGUAAUUUGUUGCGUGCAGUCCAGAUUGCCAACAACCCACAAUAAAACAAUCGACAAAGGUACAAGAAACUAUUUUCAAAAGAAUUGUUUCCCUAUUCUUCCAUUUGAGUCAUAUGCAUCUACGUACAUUGUGUGAACCCUAACUGUUGCCAGUUCUCCUUUAUUUGUAAACACUAUUGAAAAACAUGUUCAACUGUUUGUGGUAGCAUAGGUAGUUCACAGAGUUCAUCAACCUCCUGUAGUAUAGGUUUGCUUAAGUAGGCACAUGGUUGUUCAUAAUCCUUUAUAUUGUAAUUUUUAUUUUGGAAGGUAGAUCAAUAUUCCAGAUCCUUUUGUAUAAGUUGGAGUAGGGGUAGAAAUUUCCAUCAGUAGAAAUUUCAUAAUGGUUAUGUAUCAACCAUUUGUAAGCACUUCGGAUCAUAUAUUCUCCCGUAGCUUCACCACUCUAAGUGCGAAAGGAAUGGCUAAAAUCUGUCGAGCAUCAUCAACAACAAAGGUAGAAUUGAUUAAAUCCUCCUUCCAAUUAUUUGUUUACUGGUCUAUUAAAUCUGUCACUCUUUGAAUAGAAUCAUCUUGUAUGGGAUUUUGAAUUCGUUGAUUUUGAUUUCCAGGUAUCCAAGCAUCUGCCCUCACUAAGACCUCAGUACCCAAACCAAUUCUUCAGCACAUUCCAGCCUCCAAAAUGCCCUUGGUGGCCCAUAUGCUUCUCCAGGUAUAGGAAGGUAGUUGUCCUAAACUUGACUCUAUAAAGCUAGUAUUUGGUAAAUAUUUUUCUUUUAGAGUAUGUGUUAAUAAUGAAUCCGGAUAACUAAGCAACCUUUAUCCUUGUUUGGUAAGCAGGGCUAAAUGAAAUUGAGAUAAAGGGCAAAAACCUAGGCUAUCGUAAAUUUUCAAUUCACAUAAUAUGUUCCAUGUACACCAAUGAAUACCACGUUUAUUACUACUUCAACACCACUAGAUUUGACUAAUAAUGUUUUCUAAUUAAGAACAAAUCACUUUUGGUAAUAAAAAAACAUAACAUAGAAUAGGUAGGCAGAACUUGGAGGACUGAUUUUAUAAAUACCUCUCUUCCUUCUUAUGAGAGAUGUCGAGUACUCCAUUUAGAAAUUUUUGUGCCAUCCUAUCCUUAAGACUCUGAAAAGCUUUUCUUUUACCAUCUUUAACAAUGUUUGGUAGGCCUAGGUACUACUCUGACAAUUGUAGUAGCUAAACGUAAUGUCAGAUAACAUUUUGGUUUGGAAUUUUAAUUCCUAACCUAUGAGCUAAAUGUCAUAGGAUUGGGAUUACUUUUGAUGAAACCUUAACUGUUUCUAUGGAUACAAUAUAUAUCUAUUUCACUUUACUGUUACAUUUGAUUGUUCUUAUUUCUUAAUUAAAAUGCAUAUCUCUAGACAUAGAAGACUGUUCGCAUACUUAUAAACUGAUUCUAAUCCAAAAGGGUUGGAUUGGUUGGAUUAAAAUAGACUGGAAUGAGUAAGUAUUCGAUCGACACUUGUAGUCGAAUCUAGACAUAGAGUCACGACCAUAUAGAAGGAACCCAUGCAAGAUAUCUAAAAAGCUUAUAAAAACGGGCAAGGUAACUUGAGGUUUUGUCCUCAUGAAAGGCAGGCUAUUUUAGAACUGUUCCGUGCAGUAAGUAGAUACGGUUUUGCCAAGGAAUUAUUGAUAGUCAGGGUUGAUUCUGGGUAAUCUUGACCUUCCAAAUCAAUAUCACUUUAUCUUUAAUCUGUUGUAGUAUCUUUACCACAUCAUAUUUAGUUGUUUAUUUCUUUAUUUACAUUCUAUUCGAAUAAUCACUCUUGUUAUUGCCAUGACAUUUCUGGUUUCACUUUUGCCAUAUCAUUUCCAAGUAUUCAUUAAUUCCAUCUAUCGCAUACAUCAUUAUUCCUCUAAUUAUCACUGCAUACUUACCUUAAUUUACCGUAGCAUCUUACUCGUUAGUCUUAUCAUAACAUUUUACCAUCACUUGACCAAUUUUGUGCCUCAAUCUUAUCCUCAUGAAAAUGAUACUCACUCAUCACUUUAUUACUUGAACCAAUGUGUAUACUUGCACAAAUUGCAUAUCAUAUUCACUCGUGAUAGUCACAUAAUUGUGCCGCACCCCUUGUAUUUGCCCGUGUACAAAUUGAAAUAGGGUCACACGGCCAUGUUGUGGGUCGUGUCCCAGACCAUAUGAGUAUUCGAAAUGAGGUCACACGACAGUGUCGCUAGGCCAUGUAACUCUCUGUGACCGUGUGGACAAACUUUCACCUAAAACUAAGAAGCCAUACGGCCCUGUGGGGAGGCCAUGUGUGGCACACAACCAUGUGACAGCCUGUGUCUCAGUCUGUGUGUACCUUAGAUAGCUUCUAAACCAAGCCCAAAACACUACCCAUUUCUUAGGUGCCUAACCGAAACAAAAUCGCAUAUUUACAAGCCUUCAAGACACAUUCAAAGAAACUUAAAAAAUACCAAAACAUUCAAUUAAUGUGUGUAACUAAUGUUCCCUCAUUGACACCGUAAUUCAAUUACCAUAACAAAUUCAUUCAAAGUUUACAAAUUCAUACAUUAAACUUGCUAAACUUUCCAUUCAUUCCUACCAUCCAGUCAUUCACAAGUAGCAUAAUUCAACAAAACAUAAAAGUAUGGAAAUUUACAAGCUAUGAGCCAUGACAUAUAUACAAGUGAACCAAGAAUCUAGUUAAAACUACAUCAUCCAAGUAUAAGGUGUAUCAAAAGUAUUAAGUAUUCAAAAACAUAAACAAGACACCAAUUAAAUGUCAUAUAACCUAAAGAUAAACUUGUCAAAAUCUACCGAUAGAUCUCUAGAUAGUGUGAUCUUUACGUUGAACUGAUCACCCGAUUCCACAAAAUGAUAUCUACAGAGAAACAAAAAACUGACACGAGUAAGCUUCUAUAAGCUUAGUAAGUUCAAUGGUUAAAACAAUAAAACUUAUUGAAUAAACAUAUCAUUCACGCAAUACAGUUAAUAGAUAAUAAUCCUGUCAACCACAACCAUUCAACAGGUGAAUCUUUAUGUUUAUACACAUAUUGUAUAAUAUGAUCAAUUAAACUAGAUCAUUCAAUUCCAACUCAUUUUAUACAUUCAAAAGAUCAUGUAGGCAUUUAUAAGAUUAAAUAACGAAUCAUGUAACCAUUGAAAACAUGCCCGGUGAAUGAUAUAAAUGAAUUUGGAUAUACGGUUAACCAUAUGGUACACACCAAAAUGCUCAAACAAGCCAAACCAACAGAGAACACACCUAGGUACUAGCCCGUAAGCUCACAUCCCUUCGAAACACACUUGGGCGCCAAGUGCAAAGCUUGGAAGCUUUACAUCCACCCCUGGUAACACACCAAAAUGACUGUAACUAUAACAUGAUAGUCUGCAACAAAUGUUGGACUUCGGUAUAUUCAGUGGACAGUAAUUGUAACACCCCUCACCUGUAUCCGAAGCCGAGAUAGGGUUCGAGGCAUUACCAGGAUUUCACGUUCUUAAACAUAUUAAAUCAAGUCACUAAGUUGUGUUCUAAUUUAAAACUUUUCAAAUAUGUAUAUUCUUUCCCUUAAACAGGCCUUAAAACUUGCCUUAAGGUGGUGCGGAAUAAAACCGAGAACGUUUGAUAAACUUGGGGCACCUUGGAAAAUUUCUUUCAACUUAGAGUGUCACACGCCCGUGUGACUUGGGACAUGCCCGUCCAAUCACUCCAUGUCCAAGACUUGAGCAUUCUGUUAAAUUCACACGGCCAAGAUACACGCCCUUGUGUCUAGCCCGUGUUCAUUUAACAGACUUACCAUUUUAGAUGCAGGGGACACACGACCAUGCCACACGCCUACGGGUGUGGCCCGUGUGUCACACAAGCACACGCCCAUGUACCCAACCGUGUAGACCCUAUUAGGCUAUUUUCCAAGCCUAUGGUCACCCCCUUUUAACACUUAUACUUAAUGAAUAUUAAAAACAAAGUAAAACAUAAUUAUGCUCUCAUAAAUGAUCUUUGCAAAAACUCAUUGCAUGGAAACCUCAUAUCAUUGGUUUUGUGCAUGCUAGGUUAUUUCCCAUCUUGUAUUUAUGUGUUGUCAUACCACUUUAAUACAUUCAAGAUUGGCUCGUUCUUAUGACUCAUUGCCAAUUGGAAUUUAACCAUCGCACACGACUAUAAACUUGUACGGAAAUUUCGAAGAUCAUAGCCUACUUCAAGGCAAGCCGAUCUGUAUGGCCAUAAACAAAAAGAUAGAUUUAUCUUUAUAAGCCUUCAUUUGGAAAAUCAAAUGACACAUAUAACAAAAUACUCAAAAGACCUAUACAUGCCAUUGAACUAUUUAGAAAUGUCUUUCUACCAAAGCUAGUCUAUUUGAUAGUAUACUGACUCUCCAACCGUCUUCAAAUAUUUACGAGUUUUUGAGCUUUAUGAGAGACAAGAAAAAGAGAGGGGUAAGCAUUUUUAUGCUUAGCAAGCUCAAAUAACCGGAAAGUUAACUUACUUAGUAAUUAGCAUGCAAUCAAAUUGGGUAAUAAAUUCAAUGAGCAUAGGAUGGCUUCCCUAUCACUUACACUCACUCACUGAGUUAGUCACAUAACAAUGCACUAUGAAAGUUAUCUUAGAUGAGCUCCUCAUUCAACAUCUCAUUUGUAUAUAUAUGUCACAUUAAUCUCGUUGAGUUUCUAGGAAAUCUCGAUAGGAUAUCCAUUUACCGUUAAUUUGUACAAUGAUCGUUUCAAAUAUGCACUCCUGCGAACCUCACAUCUUAUGGCAGGAUUACUAGUCCAGGCUAUAUCCCCCAUUUUAUGAUCUCAUAAGGUGAUGUCAGUAUUACCAGUCCAAGCUAAAUCCCUUACAAUGACAAACACCCUUAUUGAGCUCGGAUCUGAAUUACCAGUCCAAGCUAAAUUCAGAUCCUAAUCGGAUUACCCGUCCGGGCUAAAUCCAUAAUACACACAUAUUCUUCGGGAGGCUCGACCAUUCAAAGGAACACCCGUCCGAGCUAGACCCUUUUAUAAAUGAGAUCAACAGAUUACCCAUCCAAGCUAAAUCCUUACUACAACACAUGCAGGACCUCAUUACAUAUGUCAAUCAUGGUUUAUCUAUCGAAUUCCCUUUUUAACCUCAACCGAGACAUUUAUCACAAUUCAUACUUAAACAUGCAUUCAUAAAUCAUAUAAUUAGGCACCUUGAGUGUUUACUUUAAGUUAUCCGAACUUACCUGGUAUUCGUUUCGGAGUCGUAUUUUGGUUAUUCCGAAACCUUUUGUUUUCCUCUAUCGACCACCGGAAUUUGUUCCUUGGGGUCUAUAACAAUAAAAAUAGAUAAUUAACACUCCACAUUAUAAAUUUUAAGUCUAAAUUCCACCCUCGGUCUAAAUGACCGUUUUCCCCUCAACCUUUCACAUUUUUACGAUUUAGUCCCUAGGCUCGUAUAAUGAAAUGCAUGCAAUUUCUACCUUACUCAAGCCUAGCCGAACACUUUUCCUUCUUAUGGUAGCCUACAUUUUCCAUUAUUUUCACAUUUCUACCACAUAUUUUACAACUUUUGCAAAAAUGUCCCUUUAGGGGUUUUUCAUGAAAAUCACCUAGGAAAAGUUGUUUAACACACAUUCAUCUUUCAUUUCCCUCCAUAAUCCAUCAAAAUACAAGUAACUCAUGCAUGGGGAAAUUUUUAAACAUGAACCCUAGCAUGAAAUAUGGGUAGAAAUGGAGAGAGUAAGCUACCGGGAUCUCAAAAUUACAAAGAACAUUAAAAAUGGGGCUUGGGAGCACUUGCUAAAGAGCUUGAAAAGCUUGGAAACCCUAGCUAUGGUGGCUUAGGAAUUUUGACUGGACAAGGGAGAAGAAUGGCUGAUUUUUUUCUUCUUUUUUCUCAUUUUAUUUCAUUAAUAUGCCAAAUGACCAAAAUGCCCUUUCUUUGAAAUUUCAUCCAUGCAAGCCCAUUUUUGUCCAAAAACUUAGAAAUUAGGAAAAUUGCUCCCCAAGACCUUCUAUUUUAUAAUCUAAAGCAAUUUCAUGCAAAUUGCUUCUAGAAUCCAAGUUUUACAAUUUAUUCAAUUUAGUCCCUAUUUUUCCAAUUGCGCACUUACUCAAAGAAUUUCUUCAUGAAACUUUAACACAUGCAUAUUCUCAUAUUCUAAACCUCGUGAUAAUCAUAAAAUAAAUAUUUUGAUGUCGGAUUUAUGGUCCCGAAACCACUAUUCCUACUAGGCCCUAUUUUGGGAUGUUACAUUUCUCCUCCCCUUAGGGACUUUCGUCCUCGAAAGUCUUACCAAUGAAUAGAUUUGGAUAUUAAAUUCUCAUGGUUUCUUUUGGUUCCCAUGUAGCCUCUUUUACACCAUGACGAUGCCAUAAAACUUUUACUAAGGUCACAUCUUUAUUCCUCAGCUAUUUAACCUCACGAGCCAAUAUCUUAACUGGUUCCUCUCCAUAGGUCAUGUCCGGUCGAAUAUCAAUUUCAGUCGGCGAAAUCAUGUGAGAGUGGUCUGGUCGGUAUCGCCUUAACAUAGAUACAUGGAACACAUCGUGAAUCUUUUUCAAUUCGGGUGGUAAUGCCAAACGAUAGGCUAACGGUCCAACUCUUUCAAUGAUCUCGUACGGUUCGAUGAAUUGCGGACUUAGUUUGCCUUUCCGGCCAAACCUCAACACUUUUUUCCAUGGAUACACUUUCAAGAAUACUCUAUCUCCAACUUGAAACUCAAUUUCCUUUCUUUUUAGAUCAACAUAUGACUUUUGCCUAUCCAAUUCCGCUUUUAAACAGUCUUGUAUCACUUUAACUUUUUCUUCAGUUUCUUUAAUCAAAUCAACUCCUUAAAUCUGAUUUUCAUUAAGUUCUGUCCAGUACAACAGAGUUCGGCACUUCCUGCCAUACAAGGCCUCAUAAGGUGCCAUCUUUAAACUCGUCUGAAAACUGUUGUUGUAGGUGAAUUCUACUAGCGACAAAUAUUUUUCCCAACUACCCUGAAAUUCAAGAAUGCAACAUUGCAACAUAUCCUCAAGAAUCUGAAUCAUCCGCUUAGACUAACCAUCUGUAUGAGGGUGAAAAGCUUAACUUUAGCUUAACUUCGUACCCAAGGCUUCUUGUAAUUUCUUCCAGAAUCUUGAAGUGAACCUCAGGUCUCUAUCGAAAAUAAUCGAAAGUGGUACCCCAUGCAGUCUUACAAUCUCAGAAAUGUACAAGUUGGCCAAUCUAUCGAGAGAGUAAUCUGUCCUCACCGGAAUAAAAUGCGCCUACUUCGUCAACUUAUCUACUACGACCCAUACGGCAUCUUUCUUCUUCGGAGUCAAUGGCAAUCCUGUCACGAAAUCCAUAGUAACUCUGUCCCACUUCCAUUCGGGGACUAUCACAGGUUGUAGCAAACCUAAAGGCACUUGAUGUUCAGCUUUAACUUGCUGACAUACUAGGCAUUUUGACACAAAUUCAGAAAUAUCUCUUUUUAUGUCGUUCUACCAGUACAUUUUCUUCAAAUCGUUGUACAUCUUGGUACUUCUCGGGUGAAUUGACAAGCAACUGUUAUGUGCUUCGUGCAAAAUUUUCUGAAUAAGUUCAUUGUUUUGGGGCACACAAACCCUAUCUCUAAACAUCAAACAUCCAUCAAAACCAAUCCCAAAAUCUGAUUCAAUACUUGACUCACAUUGAAUUCUUUUAGCUUGCAAGUCAUCAUCAUUAGUUUGAGCAUCAUAGAUUUCCUGAAGGAAUGUCGACCUAACCUCUAGCUCAGCCAAGACUGAACCAUCAUCAAGCAAUGUCAAACGAGCAUCCAUGGCUCUUAAUGCAAACAAGGAUUUUUUGCUUAAUGCGUCAGCGACCACAUUCACCUUUCCCGGGUGAUAGUCAAUAAUCAGUUCGUAAUCCUUGAUUAACUCUAGCCACCUCCGUUGCCUCAAAUUUAAUUCUUUUUGAUACAUCAAAUACUUCAAACUCUUAUGGUCAGUGAAUAUGCAGCAAGUCUCACCAUUUAAAUAAUGCCUCUAAAUUUUCAAAGAAAAAAUGAUGGCGGCAAGUUCUAGGUUGUGUGUAGGAUAGUUCUUCUCAUGCGGUUUCAACUAUCGUGAAGCAUAGGCUAUUACCUUGCCAUCUUGCAUAAGUACACCACCCAGUCCAUUUGAGGAUGCAUCACUGUAGAGUACAAAUUCUUUUCCCGACUCAAGCAAUACUAAAACAGGAGCUUCAGUUAACAGUGUCUUUAACUUCUCAAAACUUUGUUGACACUUUUUCGUCCAUUCAAACUUAACGUUUUUCUGUAACAAUCUCGUCAUCGGAGUUGCUAUCAUGGAGAAUCCUUUCGCAAAUCUUCGAUAGUAACCUUUUAAGCCCAAAAAGCUUCUAACCUCGGUUACAUUUUUAGGUGGUUUCCAUUCGACGAUAGCAGAAAUCUUACUUGGAUCGACUUGAAUGCCUUCACCUGAAACAAUAUGAUCCAAAAAUCUAACUUUCUGAAGCCAAAAUUCACUCUUGCUAAACUUAGCAUACAGCUACUUUUCCUGCAAAGUUUGCAACACAAUACUCAAGUGUUUUGCAUGUUCUAACUCAUCCCUGGAAUAAAUCAAGAUGUCGUCAAUGAACACAAUGACAAACUUAUCCAAAUAUGACCGGAAGAUCCUAUUCAUUAGAUCUAUGAAUACGGCCGGUGCAUUCAUUAACCUAAACGGCAUGAUGAGAAAUUCAUAAUGACCGUACCUCGUUCUGAAAGCUGUCUUAGGUACAUCCAAUUCUUUAACUCGCAGCUGAUAAUAGCCAGACCUCAAGUCUAUCUUAGAGAACACGGUGGCUCCUUUCAACUGAUCGAAUAAAUCGUCGAUCCUUGGUAAAGGAUACUUAUUCUUGAUAGUUACCUUGUUUAGUUGGCGGUAAUCUAUACAUAAACUCAUCGAACCAUCUUUCAUCCUUACAAUAGAAUAGGAGCACCCCAAGGUGAAAAGCUCGGCCUUACAAAACCUUUAUCUAUCAGCUCCUGCAACUGUGCUUUCAACUCUCUCAGUUCAGUUGGUGCCAUCCUAUACGGAGCAAUUGAAAUAUGAGCUGUCCCUGGCACCCGCUCAAUACCAAAUUCUAUUUCUCUUUCAAGAGGUAAUCCGGGUAAUUCGUCUGGAAAUACAUCUGGGUACUCACAUACUAUAGGCACAGACUCAAUCUUCAACUUUGUUUCCUUAGUGUUCAAUACAAUUGCAAGGUAAACUUCAUACCCUUUUCUCAUAUAUUGAUAAACCGUAAUUUAUACAUAUUUUUACCCUAUCCUUAACGUAUUUUAUGGAUGAUUUUCCAUUAGAAUUGGUGAAUUCGAUUCUCCUAAUGCUUUAAUUUCAUGUUUUAUACUUAGGAGAGCAUAGGACAGCGAAAGGAACGAGAAACUGGCCAAUAACAAAGAAAAAUGGGCCAAAGUACGAAUUCAACAUGGCCUGGAUCUCCUCACACGGGCAGACCACAUGGCUGUGUCAAUUUGGCAGAUUCGAAGCACGACUUACAUGGGUGUGUCCCUGCCGAGCCCAAGUUGAGUCCAAUUUAGAGAAGGCCAAUUUUGAGGGCUUUUAGGCAUUCUAAAGCCUAUAAAUACACCGUAGAGGAGGAAAGUAAUGGGGCACAGAGGGAGGAAGGAAGGAAUUACUUGAAGGAAGCCGAUUGAUCCAUCUUAGAAGCCAGAUUCAUCAUCAAGACUGAAUAUCUCCUUCAAUUUCCCUUCAAGAGUUUUGGGUUUUCUUUAUGUUUUUUACUCAUUAUUCUUCUGAGAUGUUCCCCUUUUUAGUUAUGAACUAAAUCUCCUAAAUACCUAAGGGGGACGAAACCUAAGACGAAUCUUGUUAUUAAUUUCUGAAUUGUAUGAUAAAUAUUUAACUUGUUCAUAAUUAUGUGUUCUUAAUUCUUGUUUUGAUAUCUCAGGAUACUGAUUCAAGAUAAGCUCUUAUUCAGAGGAGGAAUAGACCCUGUCUAAGAGUACAUUUGUCAUAAUUAAGUGGAGUUGAUUACGCGCUUAGAGAUAGGGUGAUAAGAUUUUUUUGGAUUAGGGUGAAACCUAAUAGGGGGAUCCAUAGAUCGAGUUAAUGCAACCUAGGGCAUUAAUUAAAGAAAACUUUCAAUUAUUCAAUCUAGGGAUUAGACAUUAUUAGUCUUAAUAGGGAUAAUAACAUAACUUAGGGAUCUCUACGGAACAAGUUAAAUGAAUAAAUCGUCCGAUUCGGAGUUAGAAUAACAAGUGAAGUCUAGGUGGAUUUUUCCUUAGGUAUUUUUUUAAUUCAAUCGUUUUCCAAAAGUAAUCCCCCAAUUCUACUUUCUGUAAAUUCUUAGAUUAGUUAAUUAGUUAGUUAAAACAAAACCCCCUUAUUCUUAGGCUAGAUAAUAAAAAGAUAGUCAUUACUAGUACUUUUAGUUCCUUUGGGUUCGACAAUCCGGUCUUGCUAAAACUACACUACUAUUCGAUAGGUACACUUGCCUACAUCGCGAUAAUAGUUAGUUUCAAGAAUGAUUAAUUAUAAAUAUUUAAAACUUACUUGUCACGAAAAUUGCGAUCAUAUAUCUCUGAGCAACCAUUGCCGUGAUCACUACCGGAGGCAUACCCAACUCUCUUGAAUCAACAAGUAGAAUCUCACCAUCCGGGCCUUUCAAUUUAAUAUACUUACUACCACAAAUUUACAGUUACAUUAUGCAGUGCUAACCAAUCCAUGCCAAGUAUUACAUCAAAUUCAUCAAAUGGUAACAACAUAAGAUUAGCCGAAAAACAAUGACCCGGAAUCGUCAAAGGACAAUUCAUACAGAUUUUAUCAACCAUGACUGAUCUACCUAGAGGGUUCGACACUUUAAUAAUAAAUUUCGUAGGCUCAAUAAGUAUGUUCAUUCUAGAUACCAAGCUUAUGCAAAUGUAUGAAUGCGUCGAUCUCGGGUCAAUUAAGGCAAUAACACCUGUAUCAAAUAGAGAAAAAGUACCUGUGAUAACAUCAGGAGUAGAGGCUUCCUCUCGAGCGCGUAUCGCAUACGUUCUUGCUGAGGCUCGAGCCUCUAGUUUUGCAGCAUCUUUAGCUACAACUCGACUGCCACCGGCACUUCCAGGAUAUCUCGGAGGUCUACCUCGUGAAAUGGGAGUACUUGACUUUGGGGCUACUUCCCCUUUUUCCUCGACUCGCUUUGGGCAAUCCCUGAGAAAGUGGUCAAGAGAUCCACAUCUAAAACAUGCACCGCUCUUCACUCGGCAUUCUCCAUAGUGAAAUUUGUUGCAACUCUUACACUUCGGCUUUUGAUCAUCUAAACAUCCAACACUAGUUACCAUCGGGAAGGAAGACUUUUGGCUUCGUCGUUUAAAACCUCUCGCUUUACCCGAAUAUCCUACUAAUGAAAUGGAACAUUCAUGCUGGCUCCUUGAUUUCUUUGUGGGAAACGAAAAUGUUUUACCACUAGACCUCUUGCUCGCGACUCGGGCCUCUCUCUUUGCUUGUUUUCUUUCGUUGGUAAGCUCCUCGGCCUUCUUGGCCUGAUCAGCCAAUGCGGCAAAUUCCCAUAUUUCCAGGAUCCCAAUCAACAACUUAAUUUCCUCAUUCAGACCUUCCUCAAAGUGUUUACACAUUUCUGACUCGAUUUGGACCCAUUCAGUUGCAUACUGACUUAACUCUCGUUCGUAUUCCGCUACAAUCUUAUUCCCUUAUUUGAGUUCCAAGAAUUCCUUUCGCUUCGAGUCUAGAAACCGUUGGCUAAUGUAUUUCUUCCUAAACUCUGUUCGAAAGAAAUCCCAAGUGAUAUUUUCCUUUGGCACUACCGAGGAUACAGUCUUCCACCAAUGAUACAUAGUAACUUUUAGAAGAUACACGGCACAUUUCAAACAUUCCUCAGGUGUGCAUGACAAAUCAUCUAACUCUCAUGUGAUGUUCUCGAGCCAAAACUUAUCUACUACGACCCAUACGACAUCUUUCUUCUUCGGAGUCAAUGGCAAUCCUGUCACGAAAUCCAUAGUAACUCUGUCCCACUUCCAUUCGGGGACUAUCACAGGUUGUAGUAAACCUAAAGGCACUUGAUGUUCAGCUUUAACUUGCUGACAUACUAGGCAUUUUGACACAAAUUCAGAAAUAUCUCUUUUUAUGUCGUUCCACAAGUACAUUUUCUUCAAAUCGUUGUACAGCUUGGUACUUCUCGGGUGAAUUGACAAACGACUGUUAUAUGCUUCUUGCAAAAUUUUCUGAAUAAGUUCAUUGUUUUGGGGCACACAAACCCUAUCUCUAAACAUCAAACAUCCAUCAAAACCAAUCCCAAAAUCUGAUUCAAUACUUGACUCACAUUGAGUUCUUUUAGCUUGCAAGUCAUCAUCAUUAGUUUGAGCAUCAUAGAUUUCCUGAAGGAAUGUCGACCUAACCUCUAGCUCAGCCAAGACUGAACCAUCAUCAAGCAAUGUCAAACGAGCAUCCAUGGCUCUUAAUGAAAACAAGGAUUUUCUACUUAAUGCGUCAGCGACCACAUUCACCUUUCCCGAGUGAUAGUCAAUAAUCAAUUCGUAAUCCUUGAUUAACUCUAGCCACCUCCGUUGCCUCAAAUUUAAUUCUUUUUGAUUCAUCAAAUACUUCAAACUCUUAUGGUCAGUGAAUAUGCAGCAAGUCUCACCAUUUAAAUAAUGCCUCUAAAUUUUCAAAGAAAAAAUGAUGGCGGCAAGUUCUAGGUUGUGUGUAGGAUAGUUCUUCUCAUGCGGUUUCAACUGUCGUGAAGCAUAGGCUAUUACCUUGCCAUCUUGCAUAAGUACACCACCCAGUCCAUUUGAGGAUGCAUCACUAUAGAGUACAAAUUCUUUUCCCGACUCAAGCAAUACUAAAACAAGAGCUUCAGUUAACAGUGUCUUUAACUUCUCAAAACUUUGUUGACACUUUUUCGUCCAUUCAAACUUAACGUUUUUCUGUAACAAUCUCGUCAUCGGAGUUGCUAUCAUGGAGAAUCCUUUCACAAAUCUUCGAUAGUAACCUCUUAAGCCCAAAAAGCUUCUAACCUCGAUUACAUUUUUAGGUGGUUUCCAUUCGACAAUAGCAGAAAUCUUACUUGGAUCGACUUGAAUGCCUUCACCUGAAAUAAUAUGAUCCAAAAAUCUAACUUUCUGAAGCCAAAACUCACUCUUGCUAAACUUAGCAUACAGCUACUUUUCCCGCAAAGUUUGCAACACAAUACUCAAGUGCUUUGCAUGUUCUAACUCAUCCCUGGAAUAAAUCAAGACGUCGUCAAUGAACAUAAUGACAAACUUAUCCAAAUAUGACCGGAAGAUCCUAUUCAUUAGAUCCAUGAAUACGGCCGGUGCAUUCAUUAACCUAAACGGCAUGAUGAGAAAUUCAUAAUGACCGUACCUCGUUCUAAAAGAUGUCUUAGGUACAUCCAAUUCUUUAACUCGCAGCUGAUAAUAGCCAGACCUCAAGUCUAUCUUAGAGAACACGGUGGCUCCUCUCAACUGAUCGAAUAAAUCGUCGAUCCUUGGUAAAGGAUACUUAUUCUUGAUAGUUACCUUGUUCAGUUGGCGGUAAUCUAUUCAUAAACUCAUCGAACCAUCUUUCUUCCUUACAAAUAGAAUAGGAGCACCCCAAGGUGAAAAGCUCGGCCUUACAAAACCUUUAUCCAUCAGCUCCUGCAACUGUGCUUUCAACUCUCUCAGUUCAGUUGGUGCCAUCCUAUACGGAGCAAUUGAAAUAGGAGCUGUCCCUGGCACCAGCUCAAUACCAAAUUUUGUUUCCCUUUCAGGAGGUAAUCCAGGUAAUUCAUCUGGAAAUACAUCUGGGUACUCACAUACUAUAGGCACAAACUCAAUCUUCAACUUUGUUUCCUUAGUGUUCAAGACAAUUGCAAGGUAAACUCCACACCCUUUUCUCAUAUAUUGAUAAACCGUAAUUUAUACAUAUUUUUACCCCAUGCUUAAUGCAUUUUAUGGAUGAUUUUCCAUUAGAAUUGGUGAAUUCGAUGCUCCUAAUGCUUUAAUUUCAUGUUUUAUACUUAGAAGAGCAUAGGACAGUGAAAGGAACGAGAAAAUUGCCAAAAACAGAGAACAAUGGGCCAAAGUACGAAUUCAACACGGCCUGGACCUCCUCACACGGGCAGACCACACGGCUGUGUCAAUUUGGCAGAUUCGAAGCACGACUUACAUGGGCGUGUCCCUGCCGAGCCCAAGUUGAGUCCAAUUUAGAGAAGGCCAAUUUUGAGGGCUUCUAGGCAUUCUAAAGCCUAUAAAUACACCGUAGAGGUGGAAAGUAAUGGGGCACAGAGGGAGGAAGGAAGGAAUUACUUGAAGGAAGCCGAUUGAUCCAUCUUAGAAGCCAGAUUCAUCAUCAAGACUGAAUAUCUCCUUCAAUUUCCCUUCAAGAGUUUUGGGUUUUCUUUAUGUUUUUUACUCAUUAUUCUUCUGAGAUGUUCCCCUUUUUAGUUAUGAACUAAAUCUCCUAAAUACCUAAGGGGGAUGAAACCUAAGACGAAUCUUGUUAUUAAUUUUUGAAUUGUAUGAUAAAUAUUUAACUUGUUCAUAAUUAUGUGUUCUUAAUUCUUGUUUUGAUAUCUCAGGAUACUGAUUCAAGAUAAGCUCUUAUUAAGAGGAGGAAUAGACCCUGUCUAAGAGUACAUUUAUCAUAAUUAAGUGGAGUUGAUUGCGUGCUUAGAGAUAGGGUGACAAGAUUUUUUUGGAUUAGGGUGAAACCUAAUAGGGGGAUCCAUAGAUCGAGUUAAUGCAACCUAGGGCAUUAAUUAGAGAAAACUCUCAAUUAUUCAAUCUAGGGAUUAGACAUUAUUAGUCUUGAAUAGGGAUAAUAACAUCACUUAGGGAUCUCUACGGAACAAGUUAAAUGAAUAAAUCGUCCGAUUCGGAGUUAGAAUAAUAAGUGAAGUCUAGGUGGAUUUUUCCUUAGGUAUUGUCUUAAUUCAAUCGUUUUCCAAAAGUAAUCCCCCAAUUCUACUUUCUGUGAAUUCUUAGAUUAGUUAAUUAGUUAGUUAAAACAAAACCCCCUUAUUCUUAGGCUAGAUAAUAAAAAGACAGUCAUUACUAGUACUUUUAGUUCCUUUGGGUUCGACAAUCCGGUCUUGCUAAAACUACACUACUAUUCGAUAGGUACACUUGCCUACAUCGCGAUAAUAGUUAGUUUCAAGAAUGAUUAAUUAUAAAUAUUUAAAACUUACUUGUCACGAAAAUUGCAAUCAUAUAUCUCUGAGCAACCAUUGCCGUGAUCACUACCGGAGGCAUACCCAACUCUCUUGAAUCAACAAGUAGAAUCUCACCAUUCGGGCCUUUCAAUUUAAUAUACUUACUACCACAAAUUUACAGUUACAUUAUGCAGUGCUAACCAAUCCAUGCCAAGUAUUACAUCAAAUUCAUCAAAUGGUAACAACAUAAGAUUAGCCGAAAAACAAUGACCCGGAAUCGUCAAAGGACAAUUCAUACAGAUUUUAUCAACCAUGACUGAUCUACCUAGAGGGUUCGACACUUUAAUAAUAAAUUUCAUAGGCUCAAUAAGUAUGUUCAUUCUAGAUACCAAGCUUAUGCAAAUGUAUGAAUACGUUAAUCUCGGGUCAAUUAAGGCAAUAACACAUGUAUCAAAUAGAGAAAAAGUACCUGUGAUAACAUCAGAAGUAGAGGCUUCCUCUCGGGCGCGUAUCGCAUACGUUCUUGCCGAGGCUCGAGCCUCUAGUUUUGCAGCAUCUUUAGCUACAACUCGACUGCCACUGGCACUUCCAGGAUAUCUCGGUGGUCUACCUCGUGAAAUGGGAGUACUUGACUUUGGGGCUACUUCCCCUUUUUCCUUGACUCGCUCUGGGCAGUCCCUAAGAAAGUGGUCAAGAGAUCCACAUCUAAAACAUGCACCGUUCUUCACUCGGCAUUCUCCAUAGUGAAAUUUGUUGCAACUCUUACAGUUCGGCUUUUGAUCAUCUACACUUCCCAGACUAGUUACCAUCGGGGAGGAAGACUUUUGGCUUCGUCGUUUAAAGCCUCUCGCUUUACCCGAAUAUCCUACUAAUGAAAUGGAACGUUCAUGCUGGCUCAUUGAUUUCUUUGUGGGAAACGAAAAUGUUUUACCACUAGACCUCUUGCUCGCGACUCGGGCCUCUCUCUUUGCUUGUUUUCUUUCGUUGUUAAGCUCCUCGGCCUUCUUGGCCUGAUCAGCCAAUGCGGCAAAUUCCCAUAUUUCAAACACUCCUCAGGUGUGCAUGACAAAUCAUCUAACUCCCAUUUGAUGUUCUCGAGCCAAAACUCAGCUCUUUCAGUAUCAUCAUCAACUUUAGCUCUAAAUUCCUCAGCCCCAUACUUUCUAAGCUUAUCAACAGGGGCUUUACCAAUUCUUACCGGUGCCAUACCUCGUGGCACAUCCUCAUCAGCUUGGUUAGGGGCCGGGGGAGGUCCUGGUAUGUUGGGGCGAUUCCUCAGGUAAUCCCCAAACCAAUCAUCCAUCAUUUCAAAGAAGACAGCUCGGGUCUCUUCUCGGCCUUCAGACAUAAGCCUUCUACUACUACUAGAUACAGCUCGUUGUACGGAAGUUGGAGCAUGGCUCUCGGCUCCCUCAAACUCAUCUUGUGCUUGAUUGGAAGACAUUUACUAUAUUCAAAACAAUUUAAACAGUUAGGAGACGUCACACUAUCAAUAUUCGAAUAAUGGAAUGUAUAGCAAACCUCAAUACUCUUUACAAUAGUCUUAGAACCGACUAAAUUGUAGCUCUGAUACCACUAAGUGUAACACCCCUCACCCGUAUCUGAAGUCGGGAUAGGGUUUGAGGCGUUACCGGGAUUUCAUAUUCUUAAACAUAUUAAUCCAGUUACUAAGUUGCGCUCUAAUUUAAAACUUUUCAAAUAUGUAUAUUUUUUCCCUUAAACAGGCCUUCGAGACCUAAAACUUUCCUUGAGGCGGUGCGGAACAAAACUGAGAACGUUUGAUACACUUAGGGCACCUUGGAAAAUUUCUUUCAACUUAGAGUGUCACGCCCCCAUGUGACUUGGGACACACCCGUCUAAUCACCCCAUGUCCAAGACUUGAGCAUUCUGUUAAAUUCACACGGCCAAGAUACAUGCCCAUGUGUCUAGCCCGUGUUCAUUUAACAGACUUACCAUUUUAGAUGUAGGGGACACACGACCAUGCCACACACCCACGGGUGUGGCCCGUGUGUCACACAGGCCUAAGCACACGCCCAUGUACCCAACCGUGUAGACCCUAUUAGGCUAUUUUCCAAGCCUAUGGUCACCCCCUUUUAACACUUAUACUUAAUGAAUAUUAAAAACAAAGUAAAACAUAAUUAUGCUCUCAUAAAUGAUCUUUGCAAAAACUCAUUGCAUGGAAAGCUCAUAUCAUUGGUUUCGUGCAUGCUAGGUUAUUUCCCAUCUCGUAUUUAUGUGUUGUCAUACCACUUUAAUACAUUCAAGAUUGGCUCGUUCUUAUGACUCAUUGCCAAUUGGAAUUUAACCAUCGCACAUGACUAUAAACUUGUACAGAAAUUUCGAAGAUCAUAGCCUACUUCAAGGCAAGCCGAUCUGUAUGGCCAUAAACAAAAAGAUAGAUUUAUCUUUGUAAGCCUUCAUUUGGCAAAUCAAAUGACACAUAUAACAAAAUACUCAAAAGACCUAUACAUGCCAUUGAACCAUUUAGAAAUGUCUUUCUACCAAAGCUAGUCUAUUUGAUAGUAUACUGACUCUCCAACCGUCUUCAAAUAUUUACGAGUUUUCGAGCUUUAUGAGAGACAAGAAAAAGAGAGGGGUAAGCAUUUUUAUGCUUAGCAAGCUCAAAUAACCGGAAAGUUAACUUACUUAGUAAUUAGCAUGCAAUCAAAUUGGGUAAUAAAUUCAAUGAGCAUAGGAUGGCUUCCCUCUCACUUACACUCACUCACUGAGUUAGUCACAUAACAAUGCACUAUGAAAGUUAUCUUAGAUGAGCUCAUCAUUCAACAUCUCAUUUGUAUAUAUAUGUCACAUUAAUCUCGUUGAGUUUCUAGGAAAUCUCGAUAGGAUAUCCAUUUACCGUUAAUUCGUACAAUGAUCGUUUCAAAUAUACACUCCUGUGAACCUCACAUCUUAUGGCAGGAUUACUAGUCCAAGCUAAAUCCCUUACAACGACAAACACCCUUAUUGAGCUCGGAUCUGAAUUACCAAUCCAGGCUAAAUUCAGAUCCCAAUUGGAUUACCCGUCCUGGCUAAAUCCAUAAUACACACAUAUUCUUCGGGAGGCUCGACCAUUCAACGGAACACCCGUCGGGGGUAGACCCUUUUAUAAAUGAGAUCAACAGAUUACCCGUCUAGGCUAAAUCCUUACUACAGCACAUACAGGACCUCAUUACAUAUGUCAAUCAAGGUUUAUCCAUCGAAUUCCCUUUUUAACCUCAAACGAGACAUUUAUCACAAUUCAUACUUAAACAUGCAUUCAUAAAUCAUAUAAUUAGGCACCUUGAGUGUUUACUUUAAGUUAUCCGAACUUACCUGGUAUUCAUUUCGGUGUCAUGUUUUGCUUAUUCCGUAACCUUUCAUUUUCCUCGAUCAAUCUCUGAAAUUUAUUCCUCGGGGUCUACAAUAACAAAAAUAGAUCAUUCACACUCCACAUUAUACAUUUCAAGUCUAAAUUCCAUCCUCGGUCCAAAUGAUCGUUUGCCCCUAAGUUUUCACAUUUUUACGAUUUAGUCCUAGGCUCGUAUAAUGAAACGCAUGCAAUUUCUACCGUACUCAAGCCUAGCCGAACACUUUUCCCUUUUAUGGUAGCCCACAUUUUCCAUUAUUUUCACAUUUCUACCACACAUUUUACAACUUUUGCAAAAAGGUCCCUUUAGAGGUUUUUCAUGAAAAUCACCUAGGAAAAGUUGUUUAACACACAUUCAUUUUUCAUUUUCCUCCAUAAUACAUCAAAAUACAAGUAAUUCAUGCGUGGGGAAAUUUUUAAACAUGAACCCUAGCAUGAAAUAUGGGUAGAAAUGGAGAGAGUAAGCUAUCGGGAUCUCAAAAUUUCAAAGAACAUUAAAAAAGGGGCUUGGGAGCACUUACUAAAGAGCUUGAAAAGCUUGGACCCUUAGCUGUGGUGGCGUAGGAAAUUUGGCUGGACAAUGGAGAAGAAUGGCUGAUUUUUCCUUCUUUUUCUCAUUUUAUUUCAUUAAUAUGCCAAAUAACCAAAAUGCCCUUUCUUUGAAAUUUUAUCCAUGCAAGCCCAUUUUUGUCCAAAAACUUAGAAAUUGGGCAAAUUGCUCCCCAAGACCCUCUAUUUUAUAAUCUAAGGCAAUUUCAUGCAAAUUCAUUCUAGAAUCCAAUUUUUUCAAUUUAUUCAAUUAAUCCCUAAUUUUCCAAUUGGGCACUUACUCAAAGAAGUUCUUCAUGAAACUUUAACACAUGCAUAUUCUUAUAUUCUAAACCUUGUGAUAAUCAUAAAAUAAAUAUUUUAAUGUCAGAUUUGUGGUCCCGAAACCGCUAUUCUUACUAGGCCCUAUUUUGGGAUGUUACAGUAAUGAAUCCAUAAUUACCAUUUCAUCAGAAGUCAAACCCGUACCGCACACAUUAAAAACCUAUUAGCAUGCCAAUUGUAUCCUGUCCUAUGUUCAUUUAGGUAAAAAAAAGUCAUCAUUUAACAAUGUUUAAACAAUUACUUACUCAAUUCAUGUGAGUUUAUAAUAAACCAAUUAUACCAAUAUAUUUAACAACUAAUUUCACAAUCAAUAUAACAUAUCAAAUUAUACUAAACUGAACCGAACAAGCUUACCAAUGCUAAAUUGCAGUGACAACAAAAGUUCAGAGACUAAUCAAUAUUUUUUCCUUUUUCUCAGUUAUCUAGUUGUUCUUGAUCAUGCAACUAAUUUAACUUGGUUGAUUCCUUAAUCUCCCUCAACCAUGGAGUUUUUAGUUUUGGAAAAAGAAAACAAAGAAGAUGAUAGGUUCUACCGUUUGUUAUUUGUUUAUUUAUUAUUUAAUUACCUUAUUAACCUUAAAAGUUUUUUCAUAAAAUACCAACCUAAAUCGUCCACUACAAAAAGAUAAGGUUUAAUUACCUUAUAAGACCCUCGCUUCAUGUUUUAAUAUCCAUUUAACACGUAUAACCUAUUAAUGGUUUACUUUUGCAGCUUUUACAAUUUAGUCCUUUUUAAUUAAUUAAGUAUUUUAAACAUCGAAGUUUCUAAACCAAAUUUUAAAACGAUACUAGUGACCUCGUAAAUUGUAACACCCCAAACUCGGCCUAAAUGUUAUGGCCGAAUCAGAGAGUGUUACGAAGAAGGGUUUGGAACAAAUGUUAAUUACUUCUUAAAAAGAGUCCGAGUUCUAAAACAUAUUCAUUACCAAAAUCCUUGUUAGUUUUCUCUUUCACCAAAACAUAAUCUGCAGCGAAAAUCUUAAAAGCCGUUAUAGUUGAAAACUGAAUUUUUGCGUUUUUUAAAAAUCAUUUGUUUGUGUAAAACCAUGAUUUUGUCAAACGUUGCAAUAUAAAAGCCCAAACACAAUCAAAACCAAAAUUAAAACAAAAUAGUCCAAAGUGUCCCAAAAUUACAAAACUGUAAAAAUAGUCCAAAUUUUAAAUAAAAACCGUAAUUGAAAAUAGUUAGCAAACUAGUGGCCACUGUUGAGACUCCGUCGUACCGGCCCGCCUAUGCUUGAGGAUUACCUAAACAGAUUGGACAAAUAGAUAUGAGUUUUCAUAACUCAGUGUGUAACUCACAGAAAUAUACAUGCAUAAAAUUCAGAUUUCCAGUAUUUCAGAAAAAAAGCGAACAUAAGUCCCUAACAGAGUCAAAUCAUAUCAGAAUCAAAUUUUCAGAAAUAUAUAGAUAUAUAGAGUCCUACCCCGUCCUCUAUACACCAUUUCCGUCUAUUCCAACACACCAUGUGGGGUAUAAAGUACCCACCCAUCCUUAUACACCAUAUAGUGUCAACACGACACUUAUCAGAAUAGUAUGCAGACAAGCUGCCAGUAUAUCAGCAACAUGUUGCCUCACAGAACACUUCUUCCACAUAUACAAAGCCCACCUCAUACACAGAUACAUAUAAAAAAUAUAGAUAACAGAUGCAGAUAUUUAGAAUUAACGUGUCUCGCAUGCUCAUAUACAUAUAUCAUACAUGCUUUUACAAAAUAGAUAAAUCAUACAUAUCAAUUUUUGAAUCUCAAAUUAGUCUAUCAGAUUAAAAAGAUAUCAUGUUUUAGGGUUUAUUUACCUUUACUUGCCAUACGAAAGGCCCACAAUCGAUCAAAACGACUUAUACGACCUAGGGAAACUUUUAAAUUAUAGGCCAACACGCCUGUGAUAGCCCACACACCCAACUCAGCCUAUCUCAUGUGGUCGUAUUACCCGUCACAUGACACACGACCGGGCACACGCUCGUGUGGUAUCAACAGGUCACUUUUUAGCUUUCGUCAAAUCGUGAUUUCUUAUGUUUUCGCUAAACAUCUAGCUCGUUUUUUAUGCGAAAGCAAUCCCAAAACCACCAGAACCUAAAAAUGGCAUACCAAACACCUUUUUAGCAAUUUAAUUUACGAAACGACAAUAAUAACCCAAACAAUGCACAUGAACUUAUCGGCAUACCAAACACCCUUUUAGCAAUUUAAUUUACAAAACGACAACAAUAACCCAAACAAUGCACACGAACUUACCGACGAUGAAAAUGACCUCUAACACGAAUCAGGUCGUUGGAGUGCAAUUCACUGCUUCACAGUCUUCUCCUACGCAACACACAUUCACAGAGAUUAAAUCCUCUUACUUCACAUCAUUAAUGAAAUUCAAACAGAAAUAAACAAUUCUAAACAGCUUACAAAAACCUAAACCCACAAACAAGUGGAAACCCUACUUAUCAAAAUCGCAUCAUGAACACCAAAAUUUCUGAAAUCCAAUGAUACAAACAAUAGGUUAUGGACAGGAUUGCAAGAAAAUAAAAAAGAAGAAGAAGAGUUGCAGAGAAGGGAAGAAACUAACGUUAGAAGCAAAGUUUAAGAAGAGAGAGAAAAUAGAAAAUAAAAUAAAAUUUAAGUUCAAAUAAAAUCCCCCAAAAUAAGGAAUGAUCUCAUACUCCAACCAAUCUUAACUACCCACUCACUCAUCAACUAACAUAGACUUUUAACUCUACCGAACCUCUAUCAGACGAUCGCAACAAAAAUAUCAUCCACGCUCACGAGGGGAUUCGAACACGGAACGUUAGGGUAAGCUAACACCUUACCAUUUGAACCAGUAGGCUCAUUCUGAUAUGAGUUUACCAGAAAUAUGAUAUAAGCCCACCAACAGAGAUUAAGCUAGGAUAAAAAAUAAUAAAAUUUACCAAAAGUGGGACUUGAACCCAAGACUUCAAACACAUAUCCAGAACACUUAGCCACUAAAGCAAAUACUCAUUUGUGGAAAAAUUCACAGAAACAAGGUUAAGAUAUUUAGGGCGUUACAUAAAUAUUAAAUAAUUAAUAUUUACGAAUUGACACGUCGAAUUUGUGGUUUCAAAACCACUGUUCCUAAUACCACUGGAAAAUACAUUAUUACAUCAGUAGACCCAUAUCUGAAGAAAGCUUCAAUCCUUCUCCAACACUCACCCGAAUGGUGUCUAUUACAAUACUCAUAAAAUAGAACUCACUCAACCCUGGCAGCUGGCUCAACAUGCUAAGGUCUCGCAACCCUAACCUGUUUCAUAAGCCGCUGAAAAGAACUAGAAGGACUCGAAUCUCUCUUAUUCUUAUUUUGGUUCUUUUCCUUAUCUCUUUUCUCUUGCUCCACGCACUUAAUCUCCUCGGUAAUUUUUGCCUUCUCCACCAAAUUUUCAAAGACUCACCUCCGCUGAAGAGUUACUAAUACUUUAAUAUCGUACUUUAGUCCUUCCCCAAACCAGAUACUCUUAUCAUACUCAGUCCCAACUAAACCUCAAGUAUAUCUGCUCAACCCUAGAAAUUCAGCCUCAUACUCAACCACAUAUCUCUCACCCUGAGUUUGUCCCAUAAACUCACGUCUAACGGCCUCAAUAUAACUCGCCCCCACAUAUUUAUUCUGGAAAGCGCUCCAAAAAUAGGCCCAAGUCACUCACUUAGUUGGGUACCCUCCACAACAUUCAGCAACCAUUAAUAUGUUUCGUUGUGAAGCAAAGAUACCACACCCUUCAGUUUCUGCUUGGGGUUGCAGUCUAAAUCAUUCAUUAUUCUUUCUAUAGCCUCUAACCAGUACUCAGCCAUAAUCGGGGCGAUCCUAACUACACUUCUAAACAGUUCUACUCCACUAGACCAAAGUUGUUCAAUUACCGACCGUUAGCUCCCAAAUCCAGUGUGGGUCCUAAUGACCCUCUUUAACACCUUCAACAUAGCUUCGGAUAAUGUUUCGUCCCCAACAAUUUGAGCCCUAGACCUAGUCUCAACGGUAGGAGUUCCAAUAGUCUCACUUAUUUCUAAAUUGGGCAUACUACUCAUCGAAGAUGGCUCAGCUCGAGCCCCUCGACAGUAACCUUCGCAACCAUGGGUACCACUAUCUUAUCUAUAAUUUUAGAGUUUUAUGAAUUAAUUUAGGUUUAGAAACCUUAAAUCUAAAGUUUUAUCAAAAGUGCUUAGCAGGGUUUAGAGAAUGUUUUAAUUUUCUAGGGUCUAGAGGCAAAUAAUUAUACUAAAGUAGCAAAUAUAAUAGUAUCUAAAGUAUAACUAAAAUUUCAAAGUUUCUUACUAGGAUUGGUGCUGGAGCCUCGGUUUUAUUUUUCAAAAAUCAAAAGGUCAAAUUGAAAUAAAAAUUCCAAAUACUGCAAAUAUAUAUUUUAAACAUAUUUAACCCAAAAUACACAAUCCAAGUUUUGCAACCUGACUCUGAUACCAACAAAUGUAACACCCCAAACCCGGCCUAAACGUUACAGUUAGAUUAUGAAGGUUAUAUUGUCAUGUAAAAUAUUGUUCGUUUAUUUUCGUGAAAACUCGGAUUCAAUUGAGGGUAAAUAAAAUUAAUUUAUUUUACAAAAAUAUAAGUCUCUAGAAAUCCGUUAGAGAGAGCGCUUCGAAGAAAACUUGUCUUAUUAAUUAUUUUUUAAACAACUCUUUUAGCUCUAACUACUCGAUAUUGCAAAACAGCAUUUUAUUAAUUAUGAAACCUUUUGCAACAGAAAAAUAACUUGGGAUUCUUAAUUUUUAAAAUCAUAAUUUUUAUUGGUUACACUAUCUUGUUAGAAAUAUCAAUUAAAGCAUUAUGUUUACAAAGUAAAAAAAAUAAAAAAAAUAUCAAAACAAAUAUCCUAAAAGAAUUUAAAAAGUUUCAAAGUCCAUAAAGUCCAUAUUUAACCCAAAAUAUUCUUAAAAUUGAAAAUGUUUAAAUCAAGCUUCGAAAUCACCACCAAAUACUAAGUUUGAGGAUAACCUGAAACGAAUCAAACAGACGAGAAGUUGGAAGCCCAGUGUUUGUGUAACAGCCCGAUUUUAGCUAAAUCAGAACAGUGGUUUUGGAACCAUAAAUUCGAUGUCAAAAAAUUAUUUUUAAUAUUAUUUUCGAUAUUUACAGCAUGUUAUUUGAUAUGUGUGAAAAUUUCGUGAGCUAAUUUUAUCGAUUGGUUGGUUAAUUUGUGAAAAAAGGACUAAAUCUUGAAAAAAGAAAAAGUUGCAUUCUACUUGUUAAAGGUGUUUAAUUGCUAUGAUUUAUUAAAUUAAAAGUCCUUAUGAUGAUAUUAGACCAUUUCUAGUGUUAAUGGACAAUAAUGACCAUCCAUUAUAUGUUUUUAUAUGUUUAUAACAAAGGUUAUUAUAGUAAAUUGAUAAAUUAAGUUAAUUAAAUUAUAUCAAAGAUGAAAUUGUGCUCAUCUUCUUCCUUGGCAACCAAAAAUAGAAAAAAAGAUAGGGUUUGAAUCUUUUUAAGUUUCGGCACACUCCUAGCUUGAUUAAGAUCAAGAAAGAAAAAAUUCAGACUUAGAUUGGGAGAAAACAAGGUUAUCGAGUAGUCAACCCGAUCCGUCAAUUUCAAAUACGAGGUAAGUUCGUAUGUUAUAAUUUCGUUACAAAUGUAUUUAUAUGCUUUGAUAUAUCAUGAAUUGUGAUUAUGUGAUUACAGACAAGUUUGGAAAUGAUUUGAUGAUGAUUCGACAGUUGGAAUCCCAGUUGAACCUUAGGAAUAGUUUAGGAUGCUAGUGACAUGUCAUUAGGUAUACUUUAAGUUGGCUUUGGGGCAUGUUAUUAGCAUUUCGGAUACGAAAAAUACCAAUUUGGCUUCGAGCCAUGAUAUCAAAAUUUCAGAUAAGUUACUUUGAUUCGGCAUGCCAUGGUAUAGGUACUUAUCGUGAGAGACCUUGAGUAUCCGACUUCUAUUCCGAAUGGUGUAAUGAGUAAAUGAAAGAUGUAGUUGAGUAUGAGAUUGGUACGAGAUGGUACGAGUACUUACGGUAAUGAAUUGAGUGUUGAAACUAUGGAAUUGAUGAGUUCCUUGGUAAGUUAUAUGAAUGACAAUUUGAUAUCUUUAAGAUUUAAUAAAAUUGUUGUAUAUCGUUUUUCUAUUAUUUGAAUGAUGAAUGAAUGGUGAUAGUUGCUUAAUGUUCACAUACGAGCUUCCUAAACUAUGAAGCUUACUUCGUGUUAUUUUUCUAUGUUUUUAUAGUGAAUCAAGACAAGUUCGGAUCCGGGAGUCGUCGGGAACAUCAUCACACUAUCAAACAUCUAAUUUGGUACUUUUGAGUUAUACAUUUAUGGUAUAUGGCAUGUAUAGGCUAGAUGUGGUAUUUUGGUUGUGAUUAUAGCCAUGAGAUUUGGCUUGUAAAUUGUAUAUGUUUUGGUUUGUAUACAUAGCCAUGAGUGAUGGCUUAUUUUGGUAUGUUUGGUAUGAAUGUGGUUAUGGUUUUAUAGUUGCUCAAAUGGUUAAUUGAUUUGUGAAGUAUAAGUGCUUGAGAAAUGCCUUGAUGAUAUAUGAUUUUAUAUGUUGUGUUGGUUAUUUAUAAGAAAGUUAUGUGUGUGUGAAUUGUGGUAAAUGAACUACAUAGAUUGAUAUUGUUUUGGCAUGUAUUUGGCUAAGUAAAUAGUAGUGACUUGAGAUUUGGAAUAGAUGAAAUUAUAAUGGUAUGAAUUGUGCAUUUGGUUGAUGAUUUUGGCUACCUAAUUGUAUGAUGAAAUUGUAUCAAUUUGGUUUUUUAGGUGAGCAUGAAUAAGGGUGGAAAAUUGGCCUUAAAAAUGGCUUAUUUUUGUCCAUAUGGACAGAGACACGGGCGUGUGUCUCGACCGUGUGCAACACAUGGUCAUGUUACACGGUCGUGUGUCUCCUGGUGUUGAUAUUAAAAUGAAAUCAAUAUGCUCCACACAGUCUCACACACGGGCGUGUGACCGGCCGUGUGGUACAAGUCAGUAUAUUCCCUAAUUCGCACACGGCCUAGCACACAGGUGUGUGAUUGGCCAUGUUGCAUAAGUUAGUAUACCCUACUAUUUUGGCACGGGCUAGCAAACGGCCUGGUACACGGGUUAAAUGCAUGGUCGUGUGGUUAACCGUAUGACCCAAGUCAAUAUGUAUGCCCUUCUUCUACACGGCCUGAGACACGGGCGUGUCUGAAGCCGUAUGAGGCACACGGCCUGUUCACACGAGCGUGUGACCCCUGUAUAGUUGAAAUUUUUCUAAGUUUCCAAAAUUUUUAUAUGUUAUCGGUUUAGUCCCAAACCACUUCUAAAGAAUGUUUAAGGCCUCGUAAGCCCUUAUAAGAGACAAUGUGAUUAUGUUAAAUGAUUUAUGAGAAUGAAUGCUUUAUGUUUGAUAAAUGUAUGCUAUAUGUUGUGAAUUGAUCGAAAAUACCUCAUAAUCCUACUCCGGCGACAGAUACGGGUUAGGGUGUUACAUUUUAUUGAUAUUAGAGCUACGGUUUAGUCAAAUCUAGGACUAAAAUAACUUGUGUGAGAGUCUAGCUAUACAUGCCAUAUAUAAACUGUAAUAGUGUGAUGACUCCUGACAUUUUAAAAUGUGUUUUCCAAUAGUAAUAGAUCCCAAUCGAGCUAUAGCCGAUGAGGUUUAGAGUAAUGUGCCUGCUCCCGUGCAAGGGACAACGCCAUCUGAUUCUAGACCUGUGUCGGAUAGCCAGGGAAGAGAGGCUAGAGAAGCCUUCUUCCAAAUGAUGAACGAAUGGUUCACUCAAUACAUUCGUAAGAAAUCGGCUGCUCAGCAACCUCCACCCCCACCUAUUCCUCAAUAAAUCCCUAUUAUUCCUCAAGUUAUAGAUCUGAUACGGUUGAAUAAGCCUCCAGUUGACAAGAUCCGCAAACAUAGGGCUGAAGAGUUCAGAGCUAAUGCUGAUUAUGAUGCUGAGAGAACUGAGUUCUGGCUCAAAAAUAUGAUUCCAGUAUUUGAUCAAUUGUCUUGUACUCCUGAUGAAUAUAUUAAAUGUGUUGUAUAUUUGCUGAGAGACAUCGCGUAUCAAUGGUGGAACAUGGGUUACUUGGGAGUUCUUUCAAUUCAAAUUUCGAAAGAAAUACACCAGUCAAAGAUUUCUCGAUCAAAAGCACAAAAAGUUUCUAGAAUUAAAAUAAGGCCGAAUGACUGUGAUAGAAUAUGAAAGAGAAUUUGUACGGUUGAGCAAGUACGUUAGGGAGUAUGUUUCUAUCGAAGAAAUUAUGUGUAAGCGGUUUGUCGACGAACGAAGAUAUUAAACUUUUGGUCAGGAUAUUAGAUUUAAAAGAAUUGGUUAUGUUAGUUUAUCGAGCUUGUAAAGCCGAAGACUUUAGCCUAGAAAAGAAAAAAGCUGAUUUAGAGGCUAGAGAUUCGAGAAAAAGACCGAUGAAUAAACCUUAUCAUUCUUUAUCAAAGAAAUUAUGAGAUUCAUAUAGCCAAUUGAAUGCAUCUGUGGGGUACCAGAAUAGAGAUCGUGGAUAUCAACAUGUGAAUUCUAAAGCUCAAGCUACUUCUAUUUCGAUUGUUGGUAGUGUAAGAAAUAACAAACCUGAAUAUCAACAGUGCGGGAGAAGACAUUUUGGUGAAUGCUAGAAUAAGAGUACUAAAGCUUGUUUCAAAUGUGGCUUCCUGGAUCAUUUUAUUAAAGACUGUUCUUAGAUGAUUAAGAAAGAUAAACCUCAAAAUGUGAGACCAAGUAAUAUGUCGACUACGGGAAGACCAACAGGAAAUGCUGGAAAUGUGAGUGGUAGUCGAGGGGCGACAAAGGACUCCGCUGUGAGAUCCGAGGCCAAAGCACCUGCUAAAGCCUACGCUAUUGACGCUUGCAAAGAAACGUCAUCUCUAGAUGUUAUCACCAGUACUUUCACACUCUAUGAUACUAAUGUGAUUGCAUUGAUAGAUCCAGGAUUAACUCAUUUUUAUAUAUGUAUGAAUUUAGUAUCUAAUAAGACUUUACUCGUAGAGUCUACUGAAUUUUUUAUUAGAGUAUCGAACCCCUUAGGAAAAUGUGUUUUGGUUGACGAAGUUUGCAAGAAUUGUCCAUUAAUGAAUCGGGAUUUCUAUUUUCUGGCAAAUCUGAUGUUGUUGCCAUUUGAUGAAUUUGAUGUGAUUUUGGGUAUGGAUUGGCUAACGAUGCAUGAUGCUAUAGUGGAUUGUAGACGAAAGAUAAUUGAACUGAAAUGUUAGAAUAAUGAGACUAUUAGAAUUGAAUCCGAUGAUCUGAAUAGUUUACCAGUUGUGAUCUCGUCUAUGUUAGCUCAGAGAUUUGUGAGAAAGGGGUGCGAAGCCUAUCUUGCUUAUGUACUUGAUACAAAAGUGAUAGAAACAAAGAUUGAAUUAGUACCAGUUGUGUGCGAGUAUCCAAAUGUAUUUCCCAAAGAGUUACCAGGUUUACCACCUAUCAAGGAAGUUGAGUUUGGUACUGAAUUAGUACCGGGAACAACACCGAUAUCGAUAGCUCUGUAAAAAAUGGCUCUAACAAAGUUAAAAAAAUUGAAAACUCAGUUGCAAGAAUUGACAGAUAGAGGUUUUUCUAGACCAAGUUUUUCUCCCUGGGGUGCACCGAUGUUAUUUGUGAAAAAGAAAGACGGCACGAUGAGAAUGUGUAUAGACUAUCGACAGCUCAACAAAGUGACGAUCAAGAACAAAUACCCUUUGCCAAGAAUAGAUGAUUUGUUUGAUCAUUUAAAAGGGGCAACAGUGUUUUCAAAAAUUGAUUUGAGAUUGGGUUAUUAUCAAUUGUGAGUUAAAUACUCAGAUGUGCCUAAGAUUGCAUUUAGAACAAGGUACGGAAACUACGAAUUUCUUAUUAUGCCUUUCGGACUAACAAAUGCACCUGCUGUUUUUAUAUGCACUUGAUGAUUCAGAUUUUUCAGCCAUACUUAGACUGAUUCAUAGUUGUGUUUAUUGAUGAUUUUUUUAUUUACCCUCGUGAUGAAUUUGAGCAUGCCGAGUAUUUGAGAAUUGUGUUACAAACUUUGAAGGAUAAAUAGUUGUUUGCAAAGUUCAGCAAAUGUGAGUUUUAGCUACGAGAGGUUGGUUUUCUGGGACAUAUAAUUUCAGCUGCGGGUAUUCGAGUUGACCCGAGCAAAAUUUCUGUGAUUAUGGAUUAGAAUCCUCUAAGAAAUGUAUUCGAAGUUCGUAGUUUUCUACGACUAGCCAGUUAUUAUAGACGAUUUGUGAAAGGCUUCUCAAUAAUUGCGACUCCGAUGGCAAGAUUGCUUCAAAAAGAUGUUAAAUUUGAGUGACUAGAAAAGUGUCAGUAGAGCAUCGAGCAGUUGAAAGCAUUAUUAACAGAGGCAUCAGUGUUAGUUCAGCCUGAGUCGAGUAAAGAAUUUGUAGUUUUCAGUGAUGCAUCGUUAAAUGGUCUGGGUUGUGUUUUGAUGCAAGAAGGCAAAGUUGUAGUUUAUGCCUCGAAACAGUUGAAGACGCACGAAAAGAAUUAUCCGACACACGAUCUAGAUUUAAUCGCGAUAUUGUUUCCAUUGAAAAUUUGGCGUCAUUAAAUGCCAUAUUUAUACCGACCACAAAAGCUUGAAAUAUCUAAUGACUCAUAAAGAUUUGAAUUUGCAGCAACGGAGAUGGUUAGAAUUGCUAAAAGACUAUGAAUUAGUGAUUGAUUAUCAUCCGGGGAAAGCGAACCUAGUUGCUGAUGCUUUGAGUCGAAAGUCCUUAUUUGCUUUAUGUGCUUUGAACACACAAUUAGUUUUGUCUGACGAUGGUUCGAUAGUAGCCGAGUUAAAAGCGAGACCGUUAUUUCUACAGCAGAUUUGAGAGGCUCAAAAUUUUGAUAAUGAAUUACAAGCAAAACGAGCUCAGUAUGAGUCCACUUCUGAUUCAGAGUUUCUAUUAGGGCCUGAUGGUUGUUUGAUAUUUCGUGAUAGAAUAUGUGUACCAAGAAAUUCUGAGCUUAUUCGGAAGAUUCUAAACAAAUCACAUAGUAGUUGUUUAUCAGUACAUCCAGGAAGCACGAAAAUGUACAACGAUUUGAAAUAGUUUUAUUGGUGGCACAGCAUGAAAUGAGAUAUCUCCGAAUUUGUUUCAAAAUAUUUGAUUUGUUAGAAAGUCAAAGAUGAGCAUCAAGUGUCAUCAGGUUUAUUACAGCAUAUUAUAAUUCUUGAGUGGAAGUGGGAUAGAGUAACAAUGGAUUUCGUAUCGGGUUAGCCCUUAUCUCUGAAAAAGAAAGAUGCAAUCUAGGUUGUUGUUGACAGAUUGACGAAAUCAGCUCAUUUCAUUCUGAUACGUAUAGAUUUCUCACUUGAUAAAUUAGUUGAGUUGUAUAUUUCUGAAAUUGUGAGAUUACAUGGUGUUCCUCUAUCUAUUGUUUCGGAUAGAGAUCCAAGAUUUACUUCAUGAUUUUGGAAGAAAUUGUAAGAAGCUUUGGGUUCAAAGUAGCAUUUUAGUACUGCAUUUCAUCCGCAAAUGGAUCGUCAAUCCGAACAAGUCAUUCAGAUACUUGAGGAUAUGUUACGUUGUUGCAUUCUUGAGUUUGAAGGUAGCUAGGAGAAAUAUCAAUCGCUGAUUGAAUUUGUUUACAAUAAUAGCUUCCAACCGAUUAUAAAGAUGGCACCGUACGAAGCUCUAUACGGUCGUAAAUGUCAAACACUGUUGUACUAGAGUGAGCUCAGUGAAAAUAAGAUUCACGGGGUUGAUCUAUCAGAUAGACUAAAGAAAGAGUGAAAGUAAUUCAUGAUAGUUUGAAAGUAGCUUCGGAUCGAUAGAAAUCAUACGCAGACUUGAAUGGAAAGAUAUUGAGUUCUAAAUCGGGGAUAAAGUUUUUUUGAAAGUGUCGCUGUGGAAAAAGAUAUCGCGGUUUAGUCAAAAAGGGAAAUUGAGUCCACAAUUUAUCGGACCGUAUGAGAUUACUGAGCGAGUUGGGCCAAUGGCAUAUCGGUUGUCCUUACCGUCUUAGUUAGAAAAGAUACAUAAUGUGUUUCAUGUAUCGAUGCUACGAAGAUAUCGUUCAAACCCUUCACACAUUAUUCUCCAACUAAAGUUGAGAUAUAGUUAGAUUUAUCAUACAGUGAAGAACCGAUUCGAAUUUUAGCUAGUGAGAUCAAAAAGCUGAGAAAUAAGAGAAUCGCAUUAGUGAAAGUAUUAUGGCAUCGACACGGGUUUGAAGAAGCUACAUGGAAACCCGAGGAUGCUAUGAGAAAACAAUACUUGAACCUAUUCACAAGUAAAAUUUUUGAUGACGAAAAUCCCUAAGGGGGGAGAGUUGUAACAGCUCAGUUUUAGCUAAAUCAGAAUAGUGGUUUCAGAACCACAAAUCCAAUGUCAGAAAAUUAUUUUUAAAAUUAUUUUCGAUAUUUGCAGCAUGUUAUUUGAUAUGUGUGAAAAUUUCGUGAGCUAGUUUUAUCGAUUGGCUGGUUAAUUUGUACAAAACGACUAAAUCGCAUAAAAUGUAAAAGUUGCAUUCUACUUGUUAAAGGUGUUUAAUUACUAUGAUUUAUUAAAUUAAAAGUCUUUAUGAUGAUAUUAGACCAUUGGUAGUGUUAAUGGACAAUUAUGACCAUCCAUUAUAUGUUUUUAUAUGUUUACAACAAAGGUUAUUAUAGUAAAUUGAUAAAUUAAGUUAAUUAAAUUAUAUCAAUAGAUGAAAUUGUUUCAUAUUCUUCCUUGGCAACCAAAAAUAGAAAAAAAAAGAUAGGGUUUGAAGCUUUUUAAGUUUACUCCUAGCUUAAUUAACAUCAAGAAAGAAAGAAUUCGGAUUUAGAUCGGGGGAAAAACAAGGUUAUCGAGUAGUCGACUCGAUCCAUCAACUUUGAAUACGAGGUAAGUUCAUAUGUUGUAAUUGCAUUACAAAUGUAUUUAUAUGCUUUGAUAUAGCAUGAAUUGUGAUUAUGUGAUUAUAGAUAAGUUCGAAAAUGAUUUGACAAUGAUUCGACAAUUGGAAUCCUGGUUGAACCUUAGGAAUAGUUUAGAAAACUAGUGACAUGUCAUUAGGUAUACUUUGAGUAAGCUUCGGGUCAUGUUAUUAGCACUUCGGGUACGAGAAAUAUCGACUUGGCUUCCGGCCAUGCAUAUCAGCUGAUUUGACUUCGGGCUAUGACAUUAAAAUUUCGGAUAAUUUACCUUGAUUUGGCUUAGGGCCAUGGUAUAGGUACUUAUCGUAAGAGACCUUGAGUAUCCGACUUCUAUUCUGAAUGGUUCAAUGGGUAAAUGAAAGAUGUGGUUGAGUAUGAGAUUGGUACGAGAUGGUACAGGUACGUACGGUAAUGAAUUGAGUAUUGAAACUAUGGAAUUGAUGAGUUCCUUGGUAAGUUAUGUGAAUGACAAUUUGAUAUCUUUAAGAUUUAAUAGAAUUAUUGUAUAUCGUUAUUCUAUUAUUUGAAUGAUGAAUGAAUGAUGAAUGAAUGGUGAUAGUUGCUUAAUAUUCACAUACGAGUUUACUAAGCUAUGAAGCUUACUUCGUGUUAUUUUUCUAUGUUUUUAUAGUGAAUCAAGGAAAGCUCAGAUUUGGGAGUCGUCGGGAACAUCAUCACACUAUCAAACAUCUAAUUUGGUACUUUUGAGUUAUACAUUUAUGUUAUAUGGCAUGUAUAGGCUAGAUGUAGUAUUUUGGUUGUGAUUAUAGCCAUGAGAUUUGGCUUGUAAAUUAUAUAUGUUUUGGUUUGUAUACAUAGCCAUGAUUGAUGGCUUAUUUUGGUAUGUUUGGUAUGAAUGUGGUUAUGGUUUUAUAGUUUUUCAAAUGGUUAAUUAAUUUGUGGAGUAUAAAUGCUUUAGAAAUGCCUUGAUGAGGUAUGAUUUUAGAUGUUGUAUUGGUUAUUUAUAAGGAAGUUAUGUGUGUGUGAAUUGUGGUAAAUGAACUAUAUAGAUUGAUAUUGUUUUGGCAUGUAUUUUACUAAGUAAAUGGUAGUGAUUUGGGAUUUGGAAUAGAUGAAAUUAUAAUGGUAUGAAUAGUGCAUUUGGUUGAUGAUUUUGGCUGCCUAAUUGUAUGAUGAAAUGGUAUCAUUUUGGUUGUUUAGGUGAGCAUGAAUAAGGGUGGCAAAUUGGCCUUACAAAUGGCCUAUUUUUGUCCACACGGCAAAGACACAGGUGUGUGUCUCGACUGUGUGCGACACAUGGUCAUGUUACACGACUAUGUGUCCCUGGUGUUGAUAUUAAAAUGAAGUCAGUAUGCUCCAUACGGUCUCACACACGGGUGUGUGACCAACCAUGUGGUACAAGUCAGUAUACUCCUUAAUUGGCACACGGCCUAGCACACGGGCUUGUGACUUGGCCAUGUUGCAUAAGUCCGUAUACCCUAUAGUUUUGACACAGGCUAGCACAUGGCCUGGAACACGGGCGUGUGUGGCCAUUUCAAAAGGCACACGGGCUAAAUGCACGGGCGUGUGGUUGGCUGUGUGACCCAAGUCAGUAUGUAUGCCCUGUUUCCACAUGGCCUGAGACACGGGCAUGCCUAAAUCCGUGUGAGGCACACGGCCUGUUCACACGGGCAUGUGACCCCUGUAUGGUUGAAAUUUUUCUAAGUUUCCAAAAUUUUUAUAUGUUAUUGGUAUAGUCCCAAACCACUUCUAAAGCAUGUUUAAGGCCUCGUAGACCAUAAGGGACAAUGUGAUUGUGUUAAAUGAUAUAUGAGAAUGAAUAUUUUAUGUUUGAUAAAUGUAUGCUAUAUGUUGUGAAUUGAUUCGUAAUACCUCGUAACCCUACUCCGACGACGGAUACAAGUUAGGGUUGUUACAGUUUGACUUGGUCCACAUACAUAAUUUUAAUUAUAAUACACAUAUACAAAUAUCAUAACAGAAUAGAUCCUACCCCCAUCCACUACAUAUCAUCUCCGACCAACAAUCACACUAAUUAGUACUACAUGAGUCCAUCCAUCCAAUCACACCGGUAAAUGGUGUUAUACCACUCAUAAAUAUGUAGUUGAGCUGCCAGACAGAUAUUGCGGUUUAACUGCUAGAAUUUGCAGUAAUACUACCAGAAUACACUUCCUCCAUUACAUAUCAAAACCUACCCUGAUGCACAUGCAUAAUCAAACCAACAUAUAUUCAUAUCACAUGUAAUGUAUAGCAUACAUACUUAAACAUAUAGAUCAUAUUAUAUCAUAUUACUUAUUCAAAAUUAAUCCUACUUAUCAUGCCUUAUAAGCAUACUCGUACAUAACAUACCGAAUUUACGCUUUUAAACCCCUACAAUAGGAUUCCCAUCAUUUCGUUGUAAAAUUUUGAACUAACAAUAGGAUUCCCAUGUAUGGAUCUUGUUCAUAAGCAUAAUUCUAGGAAACAAUCCAAGAAAUACACAAAUUUGAAAAGAAAUAGAUUGUUUUGUAUAUGUGUUUUUGGUCUAAUUUUGGAUGGAAUUUAUCAAAGAACUUGGCCCAUAAAUUUGGGGUUUUUGCUAGUAGGAUAUCAAAAGAAGAUGGUUCAUAUAAGUUCAAUCAUGCUUGAAUCCAAUUUUGAAACUUGAAUUGGGUGUCAUACUUGAAAUAUAUAAGCCAAUAAUGUCCCAUAUGUUGAUUGUUGAUAAGAAAGGUGUUGUACCAGGUUGUUUCAUUGUCCCAAUAUGUAAAAUGACGGUGGUAGUCUAUUUUGGUGGUAAAUUUGGUUGGGAAUAUUUUCUGGAGAGUUUGGGUUUUCACAUUAUCUCUUGGUCUAAGAAGUUUUAUUAUUUGGGCUAUUGAAUGAGUAAUGAAGUUAGGGUCUUUUAGAUUUGUGUAAUGUUUGAACAAUAUUGAUUCAGUUUGAACCAAUAUGUUUUCAUAAUAUUUUUAGGUUUUUUUGGGAGUUUAAUAGCUUGAUAUGUCAUAUUUUGAAAAGUUCUUUGAUAAUAAUAUGUAGAGGUCUUUUAGAAAAUUCUUUAUUCAUAAUGAUUUUUUUUUCAAAACAUUUGUUUGUAAAAUAUUGUGAGGAUUUUUUUGUGUAGUAGUCUAUGAAGAUGCUACUUUUUUUGAGAAACCUCUUAAAGAAAUAUUUCUUUUAAAAUAUAUUUUUAGAGAUUUUGAUUUGUAUAAAACAUCUCUCUAUUUUUUGAAAUCUUGGUUGCUUGAACAACAAUUUGUAUGAGAAGAAUUUCCUCUUUGAUGUAGCAUAGUUCUUUCAUUACUAAAUGACUAAUUUAUUUACUCACUAUUAAUAUCUAAUCCUUUUUUAAUUCAACACUUAUUAAAUAAAUCCAUUAUAAUAUAUUCCUUUAAAAAAAACCUUCCAAAAUCUUUUAUAUAAAAAAAUAAUGUUUUCAUGCUCUAUUCCUUCUAAAACAUAUUCAUAAAAAUAAUAUUAUUUUUUAAUAUUAUUUACCAAAAUGCAUAAAUCAAGUUAUUAAUAUAUUAAGACCUUAUAUAAAUUUCCAAUGUUUUCAGAUUAAUUUAGAUUAAGUAUGUAACUUUCCAUUUAUAUUAAAAAAACAUUAUUUUUUCAUAAAAACAAUAUCAAAUUUGACUUCUUGAAAAAGUCAAUGCAUUCACCUAAUUGCUUAAAAUAUAUAUCAGUGGCUAAAUAGAUAGUAUAUGCCAUUUUUUUAAAAUUGGACAAAUAGGCCAUUUUUUUUAAGAUUGACGGAUAUAGGUCGAUUUUGGAGAGAGAGUGCAUUAGGCGCGCUUUUAUACUUUCUCUUCUCGAUCAUCAGUUUUUAGGGUUAUGGUUUUUUUAGUUUAAGAAUUAGGGUUUUGAGAGUGAAAUAGUAAAAUUUUAUAUGUAGAUUUGAAGGGCCAAAGAUGCGUAAUGCAUCUCAAAAAACAUACAUUUCAUAUGUAAUGUCGGGAUAGGACCAUUACCUCAAAAAUCCAUCUUUUGGAAGUCGAGUUUCGAGGUGACAGUGUUUCAUAUGGUCAUGGGUUGAAUUCUAAAUGGAGGUCCUAAUCGGUGGUCGUUAUGCGGUCACAGGUUUGAGUAUAACUGCGGAUCAAUUGAUGGUCAUUAUGCAGUCACGAGUUCAAGUUUUUUGGAUACUCGCAAAUGGUGCCUUAUAUAUAUCAUACAUAAGAUUGAGGACAUAAUCAUAAGGAAAAACGAAGGGAUUUCCGAUGUAAUCAACAUAAAUUUUUUCUAGUUCCAAACAGUAGGUGUAUUUAAUCUUUCAUUCUUAUCCAAAAGCUAACAACGAGGUGGUGGAGAGCGGAUGUUCUGGCGGAGUAGAGGUUAAACUCUAGUUAACGCGACAGCGAUUGUAGUUAUUAAUAGGUUGUUUAUUAACGACAACUGUUGUUGCCCCGAAAGGAGCAUCACUUUUACUCCAUCAUUACAGUUGUUGCCCGCCUAAAAGUCUUUCUGCGUCCACUAAGGUGCUACCCUUUGGAUAAGAGCGAAGAUUACAAAAAAGCCCCAAAGUUUUUCCCUAUAAUUAUGCCCUCAAACUUUUGUAUCGUAUUUAUAAGGCAACAUCUUCGGAUAUCCAAAAAGUUUGAGCUCCUGCCUGCAUAACGACCAUCAACUAGUUCCCUAGUUAUACUCUGAUCCAUGACCUCAUAUGACUAUCUACUGAGACUCUACGUAGACUUCCAUUCGAGACUGUAUAAAGUAUCGUCAUCCUAAAACCCAACUUUCACAUGACAGGUUUUUGAGGUAAUGGUCUCGUCUCGAUAGGAUUUAUGAAACGUGUGUGUGUUGGAGCGAUAUCGCAUCACCGAUGACUCAAGAAUACUUUAAAUAGGAAUAAUAUUAUCAAAAAAAAAUUUGAACUCUGAAGCAGGGAAGAAAAUAGAGAGAGAAAUAUUAUAAAAUGGAUGGAUGAUGACCGAUAGAAAUGGUAGGUUUAAGGAUGAUGGAAUAUGGACGGAAAGCCUCCUCUUUUAUAGGUGCAAGAGAGGGGUGAGAUUAAAAAGAAAAAACAACUCGUGGUUGAAAAUGUCUUAUAGAAAAGACGUUUUCAUCGAAUAUCUAAAAGAAGUGCCUCAAAUCAUACACGAGAUUACUCAGAUCAGGGCACCUUAGCAGGCUUUGAGUGGUGGUGGACUGUCCACCACCAUUCAAAGCCUACCAAGGUGCCUUGCCCUUGAGAAUCUUGGGUAUGUUUUCAAGCAUAUUGAAGACCCUUUCAAGCGCACGUCUACUGAAAUUGAUUUUGUUGAAAUGCAUUUUCAAGUACAAAAGAACCUUUCAUUAUUAUUAUUCAAUGGAAACGCGUCUUGAAAGGCGCUUUCAAGCACCCCUUCCCUCUCUCAUCGUUCUUUUUUGCUAUUAAACUACUGAAGUAUUCAAUACUUAGACACAAGCAAAUUCAUUCUUUUUUGAAGAGUUGCAUUGCAAAUUCAUUCUUAAACCUAUCCCAAAUAAGAGUAUGUAACCGUCAAUGUUCAGCACCCCAUUCGAGUUGGCACUGAAUAUCAACUUGCGUCACCUCCCAAAAAGUCGUCCGAAUUCUACUCGGAUACGCACCAAUAUAAAUGUUCAAGAGAGAGACAAUUAAUAAAGGUUAUGCGACUAUUGUAGGAACCUAGGGCAUAUUAAGGUAACAUGUCAACAUUUGAGGGGUGUAUUGAGGACAACACGUCGCUAACAUAUUUUUUUUGUAUAGAAAUUGAUUAAAAUGUUUUUUUGGUACAAAAUCUGUUCAUUCUUUUCUAUACCUAACAGAUUGUUUGGUCUUAUUACACUUUUUACUUUCAACUUUCAUAGAAAUUUUGUGAUGGAUAAUAAAAUUAUCCCUUUCACUAUUUUGUUUUCCAUGGUGAAAUAGUGAAUAAGGCUAAAUUAGGUGUAGUAAUUUACCUCUCAAUAUUUAUAAAAUUAUCAUUAAACUUUUUAUAUCAAAUAUUAUAUAUGGAAAAUUACGUACAAUAUAGAUUAGAAUUUAACAAAGACAAUUAUGUGUUGCAGCACAAAUAUAAAAAAAAAUUUAAUCACGUUUUAUUGAUAUCAAUUAUAAUCACAUCAUAAAAAGUAACUGAAAAAUAUAUCAUCGACGCUAUUGUGUUGAAUGUGUGCCACAGGGCAGUGGCUAACGAUUGCAGAUAGGAUUUAUACAUACAACUUGAGGUGUCGGGUCCACUUUUUAGUCAUGAUCCUCGUCUUCAUUUUUACCUCAACCCUCGUAUUCAUCUUUGUCUCCACCCUCAUCUUGGUCUCCAUCUCCUUCUUUCGUGGUUAAGUAUGGUAUCAUCCUAGCCUCCCAUUGUGUGUCCUCUAUUCUAUGAGAAGGUGGUUAUGAUGAUGAGCCACCUUGAUAAACUACGACACGAUGGGUGUUUGUAACUAUUGAUAAAUAACCGUAUGAUGUCACAAAACCCGGUUGCGCGUAAUAUCAGGGAAUCAUUGUUGUUAAAGAAUACGUAGACAUGAUAUCGGCAUUGAUGUUGACAUUAGUGUCAGCAUUUAUGUCGGCAUCAGGGCAUAAUAUGCUCGGGACAGCGGUGCUGCGGAAUACACACUACAAAAGGUGUAGAUGUAGGAUAUUGCGGUGGUGCAUAGUAUGGUCUAUAAUGUGGUGCUUGUGAAAAAUAUAUAGGGUUAGUGAAAGAAACAUGAAUAUAUAGAAGGAACUGAUUGGGAUAUGGCGUAGACAUCGGUGCCCCUUGUUGGGUUGAAGUCGAUGACGAACUCAUUGCGGCACUUGCUCUGGACCUACGAUGCUAGGGCGGUCGUCGUGGUCUCUUCGGACGAAUUUGCCUACUCAUCGCCUCCACAAAUAGUAGAUAUGACUUACCAGUGAGUCUAAAUAAAGGUAUGUACUCCAAAGAGGUCAUCGUGUCUGGUGUGAAAAAGGGUCACAAAUGCGUAUGAAAUUCAAAUGGGUAUGAAAUUCAUCUUGUGAUCCCAAACUUCGAUGUACUCCUUGUGGAAUCCUCGCUAAUUUUCGUCAGUUUUCCCCCACAAAUCAAGCUUGCAAAGUGCUUCAAUGUCUUGUGGUGUCGGGAAAAUUUUUUGCUUCCACCCAAACUGUCUCGUCAUUCAAUCUAAUUCAUGCAUCUCCACCGCUGCAUAAACUCAAUGGCACCUUUAUGCCCAACAUACUCUGAAUGACCAAAAUUUUAGGCAGGAUGUAUUUUAUGAUAUCCAGAUCAACGUAUGACAUCCAAUCAAACUAUAGUACACAAUUAUAAAUUUCAUUAUCUACAAAAUUUUAAAUUCCAAAUCAUUGCAUAAUUAUUAUAAGUUUAAAAAAUUCAAUAACUAACUUUGACUUCGGAGCGUUGAUCUAACAGCAACCGGAUAUAUUCGAGCUGCUCCAGUAGUCCCACAUAAAUUGGCCCAUGGUACCAUUUACUCAAACAAUAUAUUAAUUCAAAAAUAUAAUAAAUAAACAACAUUAACUAUGCUAACUAUAUAUUGUUAUCAAAUGAAUUUUACCUUGUCACCAAUUGGAAUGUAUAAGAGUCGUCCACUUGAGGACGUGAAAAUGGUAGUGGCCACCAUGUCCAUGACUGCAGCAGGAGCAAGCACCUACCAAUUGACAUCUUAUCUUGUUUCGUCGCCCAACACAACUCCUUGUGUAACGUGGCUAACGUGGUUGAUCCUCAACUAAGACAACCACAUUCUUUGAAGUCGACUAGGUGUAGUAGCCACCUUAUGUGUACUAAAUUUCAAGAUUUAUCGGGUAUUAGAAUGCCCUUGAUUAACCUUAGGAUGAAUGCUCGUGCGUAUUAUUCUUUUUCGAUGUCAGUCACAUCCUUAAGAAAGAAUUUGAAAUUAUCUUCCAACCAUUUCAUCUCUAUCCGGCCACCUUGAAACUUGUUCGGCACCUUCCUUAAAAAUGCCUCGCAGAGGUCCUCCUUAUUGGGAACGACCGCUGCCCCUUUAACGAUUAACCCAUCCACUAGUAAACCGAGUUGUAAAGCUACGUCCUAGAGUGUCAUUGUACACUCGAUCUAUGGAAGAUGGUAUGUUUGUUUCUCGGGUCUCUAUCUUUCCACCAAUGCGUUGAUAAGUGUAGGAUCCAAUUUACAAUGCUCAAGCAUACAAGACACGUGUAAGAAUCUCGCAUCUUGCAAAUAACCACGAAUUUCACUGUCUAGGCUCUUUGAUAAAUUGUGUCUGAACCCCUCCAAAACACUAUCAUCCGCCUAUUUAUAUAAAUAAAAUAAAAUAAUUUUAAAAAUUUUAAAACUUUAAAAUUAACUUAAUUGAAAAUAAUGAAACUAAAAAUUUUUCCUUGCCAUUAUCAAUUGAGCGGUACAAAUGUGCUUGUUGUCGAAACGAGUAAAAGAACUCGUCAUUUUUGAAAAUUUAAUCGAAAUGAAUAAUCUACGAUAUAAUAAAAUAAAAUAAUAAUAUUUUUAUACAAAUGUAUUGGAAAAUUUUGAGCAAAUCUUAAAAAAAUUGAGAGAAUUGAGAAUUUAGAGAGAAUAGAGAGAGUUAGAUUUGAAUGAAAAGAAUAAAACAUAACAUAUUUAUAAGAAAUUAAAUUUAUUGUUGGAUUAUUUAAAAAUUUUACUGUUGGCGUGUUUGAAUUUACACAGUUUGGGAAGAUGAUAGUUGGAAGCUGGACUCUCUCCAGAAUCAGCAUAUUUAGCCUAUAUAAUCACCGAAAAUUGACUGCUAUAAUUGUGCAAUUUCAUAAGCAAAAUUACAACACAUACCAAAAACCCUAAAUCUCUUACGAGGAUAAAUAACAGUACUGAGAUUUGUUUAUCUUUAGAUUUUUCAUAUAUGAUAUCGAGUUUGAGUGAUGUCAAUUAUUUACCUCUUCCAUUGUCUUAUGUUUACUUUUAAAUAUAUUACUUUAUAAUGUUAAUUACAUUAUUAUUUACUUUUCGGCUAUGGAAACUUGCUGGGAUUCAAAUCAAACAAACUAACUUCUCAAUUCCUACUUUUCUAUUAGCUGCAUUUUUUUCUUUUACACAAAAUUUUCCUGUUUAAUAUAUAUUUCUUUAUCAGAUUUAAUACCUACUUCAUGGGAAUAUACAAAUAUAUUUAAUAAUAAUUCUUUUUCUUGCAGUUUUUUAAAGAAAUUUUCCUGCAAUUCUCAAAAUUUUAUUUAUUCUAUAAACUGUCAAUGGCUGGAAACUCUGCUUCACAGAACAGAGAGGUUAGAUUCUCAAACUUAGUUCAAUUAUAUAUAACAUGGAUAAAAUUUGAAACGUCUAAUGUUUUGUGUUCUUAUCAAUUUCAAUGAGUGCAACAACAAAAAUUCUAGAAGACAAGAAAAACAAGUAUUCCUUUAUUGACAUAAACAUGCAUGUUUUUAUUCUUAUUUAUUAAAAUUAUUUGAAUUUAUAUAUCUAAUGUAAAAAUUAACGUAUCUUCCGUAUUUGGAGUAUUCCAUGAUCUAUAUUAUUGCAUAAUUUUAAAAAUUGUUAUAUCAUUAUUAAGACAUUUCCGUUUUCACGAACUUAUCUUCUAUGCUUGAGACGAAAGCGGCUAGUAACGUUGACGCAGAUUAUAUUAUACGUCAUGAAAUCUAUUGUUAUAUUUUCAGCAAAUUAACUCUUUGGGUUCAAUUCAUCAUGCUGUUGAUGCUAUAUUAAAAUUAAGCUUCAUCAAAAAUGCCAACACUAAACUUAAGGGAACAUCUAAAUGCACUAAGCAAGAAAUACUCAGUGUAUGCUUAAUGCCCAUUUUAUGGUAAUAAUAUUAGCUAAUAUUUGGCAAUUUGAUUUACAAUUAUAUAUGUUGAUAAUAUUUUAAUAUGAAUUAUAAAAAAUUAAACCGCUUUUAUAAUUAAAUUAUAAUCAGGUUUUAAUAUAUAUAAUGAUAAGAAAACACAUUUUAAACCCUUUAUUUUAAUCGCAUACCAAAAAUUGAAAAAUAAAAAUUUAUAUUAUAUUUACAUUUUUUAAUGAUAAUAUUUUUUUUAAAUUUUAAUAAAUAAAUAGAAUAUAUUUUAAUAUAAACAAUCAUCUGCAGCAAGUUUUAAGAAACAUUUCUUUUUGCCCCUAUAGAAAUUGAUUUAGUGUUCCACUUUAAAGUCUUGGAAUUCAUAAUCAUUACAUCAAUUGUUUUUGGCAGAAAAAGAGUAUUAAAAAAGGAAAGAGUGAAAUUUACAGAUUGCUGUCUCUCUCUAUGUUAUCCUCUCACUCUCUAUAUAAAAUAUAUGUUAAUUUGUUGAUUAACUUUUAUAAGUUCCUCCACUUUACUUUUUCUCCAUUUGUUGCUAAACUUUAAAGGUUGCCUGUGAUUUCUUACAACCUGGAACACCCUUUAAAAAGAUAUUUUUUUUUAUAUUUAUAAAUAAAAUUCACAUUAUCAUUUUUGUUCAUCAUCCAAUUUGAUAUCGUAUUAUAGGAAAUUAAAAUUUUGAAAAUGGUUAAUUAAUAACUUUUAUUGUGACGGAAUGUGUGGCUUGAAAAUGAAAUUAAAAUGAAGAAAUUCCACCGAACCUGAACAACACCUUCUUGGAACUUAGACUCCAUUAAUAAAUAAUAAUAUAAUUCUAAGUAGACAAUAUAGAAGCUUAGUUAUAAAAUUACAAAAAGAAAUGAAAUAUGUUGGCUAAUUUAACGAAAAGUGCCUUUUCUUUUAAUUAAGCAUUUAGGUUGUUUUUUAUUUAUUUAUUUAGAGAAAUAAGUCGUUUUUAGGAGAGAAAGAAAAAUCAUUUUCAGUUGGGUAUGUUCUCUUUCUCUAUCCUAGGAUUAGGGUUAGAGUUUUAGAUUUACGUUGUAUGGUUUAGGGUUUUUUUGAAAGGAUUUAGGGUUUUUGGCUAAAACUGUAAAAAUCCAUAAGUAGAUUUGAAGGGUCGAGGAUCUGAUAACGCGCCUCAGAACACUCACAUUUUAUAUGUCAUGGCGGGAUAGGACUAUUACCUUAGAAACCCAUCGUGGGGAAAUCUGGUUUCAGGGUAAUAAUGCUCGAUACGAUCAGGGGUCGAAGUCUAGGUGGAGGUCUUAGUCGGUAACUGUAAUGCAAUCAAGGGUUCAAGUAUAAUCGGGGAGCCAAGUGAUGACCAUUAUGCAGUUAGAAGUUCAAGUUUUUUGGAUACUUGCAAAUAGUGGCCUAUAUAUACCAUACAUAAGAUUGAUGCCAUAAUCAUAUGGAAAAACGCUAGGGACUUUCGGUGCAAUCAACGUACUUUUUUUCUCUAUUUCCAAGCAGCUAAUAUCUUUGACAUUUCAUUCUUAUCCGAAGGCUGGUAUUGAGGUGGACACAAGAGGGCUCUCAAGUGGAGAGUGGAUGUUCCAGCAUAAUAGAGGUCAAACUCGGGUCGACAAGGCAGCGUUUAUAGUUAUUAAUGGGUUGUUUAAUAACGGCAAUUGUUGUUGCCCCGAAAGGAGCAUCACCUUUACUACACCGCAACAGUCGCUCCCUACCUGAGAGUCCUCUUGCAUCUAUGACGGUGAAGGCUAAAGGUAUCGGUUGCUUGGAAAUAAAAAAAAAACUACACCAAUUAUAGCAGGAAGGCCCACAUUUUUUCCAUAUGAAUAUGCCCUUAUACUUUUAUAUGGUAUUUAUAGGCAUCAUUUUCAAGUAUCCGAAAAGAUUGAGCUCGUGGCAGUGUAACAACCGUCAACUGGCUCCCCUGUUAUACAUUGAUCCAUUACCGCAUAACAGUCAUUGAUUGAGACCUCUACGUAGUCCACGCAUAAAGCGAAAUCACCCCGGAACCCGACUUCCCUAAGAUAAGUUUUAGAGGUAAUGGUCCCAUCACGGUAGGACAUAUAAAUUGUGUGCAUCUCGGAGCAAUAUCGCAUCACUGGCGACUCAAGAAUACCUUGAACAUUAAGAAAAUAUUUUAUAGAUAAGGGAUGGAGAGGGGAGGAAAAGAUGUUUGAGAGAUAAUGAAGCUUGGAGUGUGUAACCUCUUUUAUAGGUGGGGGGAAGGGUUGGUUUACAAAGUAAAAAUUUUCUUUUCUUGAAAACGCGCUAUAGAAGUCAAAGAAUAUAUUUGAAAUGAGGUUAAAGUGGUUCAAAAAAAAUGAAGCGUCAGACACUUUUAAUUUCUAGAAGAAGAAAAAUUUUAAAGAAAGCACAAAUAGAGCGUCCAGCUAGGCUCGCUUUCCUACCGUGUCAACAGGAAAGGAACUUUGUCUAACAUUUUUCAUCUGUUGUUGUACAUUGAAGUAACUUUUGCAGAAUACCUAGGGAGAAAGUUAUAAGGUGGGCUGAAAUUAUAUAACUUCUGAACGCGUCUUGAAUACUCUGGUGCACUUGCAUCAUGAAAAAUUCAACGAAUGCAUACAUUCAUGAAUGAAUUUUGAAGCAUGUAUUCCCAUUAUACCUAUAUUAUUUUUGUAACACCCCUAACAUGUAUUUGUUAUCGGAACAGGGUUACAGAGCAUUAUCGGAUUAAGGUUACGAAGUAUUACCAAUUAAAGCACAAAUCCAAACAUUCACAUGAGUACACUUGUAUAAAUUUUUAAGAACAAUUAUUUAUUAACAUCAAUAAUUAAUGCAAUUACUAAUAUCACAUAACUGAAUAUACUUUUAAUUCAACUUAUAAAAUGUGCAAACAUUCAAACUUUAUUACACUUAAAUCGCAUACUGUAUAUUCUAUACACAAAUGGAAUAUACAAAAACUACAACAUAUAAUCAUUUAAACAAAGUCAUAUCAUAUUUGGCAUUCACUUAAUAACAAGUUGGACACUUAUACUUCACAUAAAAACACAUACUAUUUUCAAGAUUUACCAUUGCAGAAGUUGCUAUUCAUCUGGUUAUUAUUCAAUGCAUUUAGCAGAAUGCAAGUUUAAUUAAACAAUUAAUCACUUACAACUUAACUCAAUCAUUUUACAAAUCUAUGCACUUCAAACAUUCAAAUCAAUAUACAUGUUAUAUAAUAUAAUAAUAACAACAUUUAACAAGACGUGACCGAAUGCAAACUUGUUAAAAUUUGUCCAUUUUAAUCAUAUUUUCCGAACCCUAAUGUAAUAUAAUUUAAUAAAUCCUAAUAACAUAAACAAAUUAUCAUUAUUUGGUCCAUUCGUUAUAUAACUAUCACAACCAAAUUUAAACAAUUAAAACCUAUUCAAAUACAUGCAUGCAUAUGAUAAUUGUUACAUUUCAAUACUAAGCUGAAACUAGUUUACUAUUUCCAAGUACCAAAAUAGAAAAUAACACAUUUCCUAAUUUCAAUCCUAACCAUCCCAAAACAUAUCAGAUUAUUCUUUAAAACCUAUUCAAAACACAUCCCAUACAUGCUGUGUAAUAAUCGUGCCAAACAAACUUAUCUCAUAUUCGAAUGUAACCAAAUAAAUAUUAAUACUAUACCACAUAUUAAUACUUUAAUAGUAUGUCAACCAAAUUUUCAUUCAUACUUUAUUUUAAUAUGAAUCACAUUUAAAACAACCAAACAUACCUAAGGAUAUAUGCAUAUAUAUUACGACCAUUAUAUUCAUACCUCUUCCAAGUCAUUAAUCAAUUUCCAUGCUCAAACAUGUGUCACUACUCAACCAUUUCCAAAACAUAUAUCAUAUAUCACCUAUGCCAUUCAUUCACAACACAUAGCAUCAUCACCAAACAGUUUAGACCAUCAUCAAACAUAAUCAAACCAAACUUAGAAGUAAAGCCAUUUUUGAAUGGCUUUAGUUAUACAUGACCAAAAUUCAACAUUUCAAAACACAUUUCAACCUAUACAUGCCAUAGUUCGAGUUCAACUAUUUAAAUACCGAAGAGGUAGAUAGUGUGAUGAACUUUGCUGACGUUCCCUGAGCUUGUAACUUGAAUCUAAAAUCUAUAAAACAGAAGAAAAUAUACCCACAGUAAGCUAUAAUAGCUUAGUAAGUCAUAAGAAAAUAAGCUAUAAUAGCUUAGUAAGUAAUUAAACUAAACCAUAAUAUAAUAUAGUUAUUACAUUUAGUUGCAACUACCAUGUUUCAUAAAUAAUGCGUUUUCUUACACAAACACCACAUUGGCCGAAUCCAAAUACUUACUUAACAUUCUACCUUCAAGCCAAAAUGUCAAUAUAUAUACACCGAAUAUAUAUACACUUAUAUACACGAGCUCAAAAUCAUAAUAUAACAUCUUGUAUAUAUAUACUAUCUAUAUGGCCGAAUAUACAUGGUUUUAUAUACACCUAUUCAAAAACCAAUUCUAUAAUAUUCAUAUCAUUCAUUCAUAAAACCAAACACAUAUAUCAUGGUCACAUAAAUCAUUUAUUUGCAUCACCCAUGAUCUAAAACAAACAACCAAAUUACUUACUUACUUUAUUUUAGUUAGGUAGCAAACUAAUUCAUACCUGGUCGUUUCAACUCAUUUUACACUUUCGAUCACAACUUAUCGAUGCCCGAUAAACCAUUCAGAAUUGGAUAGGACACUCGGAUAAUCACACAUAUAUUGUACAAUGCCAACGUCCCAGACGUGGUCUUACAUGUAAUCACAUAUCGAUGCCAUUGUCCUAGACAGGGUCUUACUUACACAUAUAUAUCGGAAUCACAUACCGAUGCCAUGGUAUUACUCGCACACAUAUAUCGGAAUCCUAUGUCAUGACAUAUGUAUCCUAACUAUUCCUAAGGUUCAUACGCAGCUUUCGGACGUCGUAACUCGGUCGAAACGAACUUGGAAAUAUAGUAGCCAAGCUUAUUCACAUUCGGAUAUAGCAUAUAAUAGUUCAUUUAUUUCAGUUCAAUAUAUAUACUUUGCAUUUAAUUAAAAUUAGGUACGUCUAUUUGCUUAUAAACUUACCUUGGACUAUGUAAAACGAAACGGGACAGCUAGUCGACAACUUUCGUUUUCCUCCGAUCCAAAUUCAAUUUCUUUGGUUCUUGAUCUAAACAUAUUCAAAUUAAUAACAUUCAAAUAUAUUUUCAUUCAAUUUAGUCCAAAAACACAUAAAUCAAAAAUUACCAUUUUACCCCUAACAUUUACACUUUUUACAUUUUAGCCCUUCUUGCACAAAACACAAAAUAUGCAAAAUUUCCCUAUACCCAAGUUAGACCGAAUCUUACCCAUAUCCAUACAAGUCCUUACAUUUCAUUUAUUUCACAUUUUAGUCCCUCAAAUUAUUUUUUUUUUCAAUUUAGUCCUAAUUACUCAAAAUCAUCAAAAACUCCAAUGCAAAACAUGUUAAUCUAAAACCUAUCUUUCAUAUUUCAUCAUCAAACAACAAAAAUCACAAGCUCUCAACAAUGGCAUAACUCAAAAUAUUUUCCAAAAUAAAAAAUUCAAGCAUGGGCCUUGAAGAUAACUUAGCAACGAUCUCAAAAACAUAAAAAUUAUCAAAAACCGAGCUAAACACAUACCUUGAUUGAUCUUUAAAGAUGGUCGAACCCUAGCUUCUAAUAUUUCUUUUUAUUUUUGUUUAGUUUUGGUAAAAAAAAAAGAAUGAACAUGGCUUAUUUUUAUGUUUUAUGAUAUAUAUUAUAACUUAUUAUAAUUUAAAGUUUAAUUUACAUAUAUAACCUUAAUGAUAUAAUAUAAAAACUAUAUAACAUAUGCCUAAUAUCGUCCAACUAAUAUGUAAAUGGGCUAUUUACAACUUAAAGGCUUCCAUUAAUAAAGCCAUUAGCAAUUCGGCCCAUUUUGGAAAUAACCACCAAAUUUUUAUUUUACGCGAUUAAGUCCUUUAUUCAAUCAGACACUUAAACGAUAAAAUUAAAGCACGAAAAUUUCACAGAUAUACAUUCACACAAAAUAAACAUAGAGAAUAAUUUUUAAAUAUUUUUUAACUCGGAUUCGUGGUCCCGAAACUACCGUUCCGAUUAGGGUCAAAAUUGGGUUGUUACAUGUAUAACAGGAAAUUAACUUACCAUUUAUUUCACAUUAAGGUAAGCUAACUAAACAUGCUCAAACCAAUUUGGCCAAUUGUCUAAACACUUAUCCUCAUCAAGCAUGUUAGUCAUGUAAUUCACAUAAAUACCAAGAAACAUGAAUGAGCUCAUCAAUAUUCAAUUUUCACAUACAUGUUUUUAUCACUUAAAGUAUACGUGAACAUGUACAUAUGAUAUCUUUGUACUUCAAAUAUUUCUCAUAAUAAUUCAUCUUGAAUUCAUUUCAUCUCAUAUUGGAACUUUACCCGUUGAAUCAUUUAAAAUAUCGAUGGAUACAUGGGUAGUACAUAUGAAGUGUAUGAAUCAGAGAUUUGUCAAUUUAUAUUCGGGGGUGUUCAUUAGAGCACAUAAUCGGGAAGCCCUCUCUUGAGCCAUAUAACAGGAAGCUCAUGUGAGCCAUAUAACGAGAAGCUUAUCCGGGCUGUAUAACGGAAAGCUCAUAAGAGCCAUAAUUAGGAAGCUCAUGUGAGCUAAUAACGGGUAACUCCAAAGAGCCAUUAAUCGGGAAGCUCCGUAUAACCAUAUAUCGAGAAGUUCAAGCGAGCCAUACCGGGAAGCUCUAGAGAGCCAUUAAUUGAAAAGCUCACAAAGAGCCUUUAAUCGAAAAGCUCACGAAGAGCCAUAUAUCGUGUAACGUCCCCACGCCCAAAAUCGUCGCCGGAGUCGAGCUUGAGGGGUUACCGAACAUAAUUUAUGAAAUUAAGAACAUCAAAUUAUUUAUUUCUACAUUCACAACUUUCUAGCUACCCGCGUCACAGUUACAAGAAAAAUCAUAUCUCGAGUUAAGAAACUCAAAAUCAAGAUCCGUAAAUUUUCCCUAAAUCUACACUCAUAUAUAUAUUUACUAAUUUUUUUCUAGAAUUUUUGAUUCGGCCAAUUAGUACAGUUUAUUAGUUAAAGUCUCCCCUGUUUCAGGGUUCGACUGCUCAGACCUCUGUGUAUUACGAAUCAGAUAUCUCUCUAUACAGAAUUUUAAUGACUACAAGGUUUGUUUCUCUUAAAACUAGACUCAACAAGGUAUCUUUACAUAUAAAUAAUGACUUCUAAUUAUUUUUUUACAAUUUAUUAGGAAUUUUUAAAUUCAGAACAGAGGAUCCAGAAAUCACUCUGGCCCUGUUUCACAAGGUUUCAAAUAUCUCAUAAAGUAUAAUUUAUAUGCCUGUUUUUUUUAAUCCAUAUGAAAAUAGACUCAUUAAGCUUCAAUUUAAUAACUUUCUCAUCAUUUAAUUCCAUUUAUACUAUUUUUAGUGAUUUUUGAAAUUGAUGUCAUUGCUGCAGCAAUAUUCUGUUUUAAGGCAAAUUUCAUCUUUUCAUGAGUUGUUAUGAACUAGAUAACCUAUUAAACUUCCAUGAUAUCAAACAUGAUCUAAAUUUAACCAUCACCAUGACUUAUCAAUAUCAAACAUUUUCUCAACCAAUCAUGGCCAUAUCAUAAAAUUAUUUACACAAAAUAAGUAUAUUGCUAUACAUGCCAUACUUAAGUUUUACAAGCCAUUUACCCAGAUGAAAGUCCUUUGGAUAGUGUGAUCGAACCUUCGACCCGUCCCGAUUCCCGAGCUGGCUUGUUCAAAACUACAAUAAAUAAAGAGGAGGGAGUAAGCAUAAAUGCUUAGUAAGUUCAUAUGUAAAUAACAAGUAACAUAACAAUACAAAUAUACUAAACAACUUUAGCAUGGUAUCACCAAAACAUAUAUCACAUUUCUAAACAUCAUUCAUCAUCUUACCACCUUAUCGUUGUUGUAUCUAUUUUCAACCCGAGGGUUAAGAACAUACUUGUCCAAAGUGUCCAUUUCACAACACUUACCAAAACGUCGCUUGCAUCUUAAGUGUUCUUCCAUUUCACUAGAAAUUUCACCCGUUGAACACAUCGGAAUACAACUCGGAUACACGGAUAAUUUGCACAUAAGUGCCUCAUAUGUAAUCAAGAAAUCAUGUAACCCGCCCCUAAGUGAACUCGGACUCAACUCAACGAGCUCGGGCUUCGCAUCCAUAAGUGAACUCGGACUCAACUCAACGAGUUCGGAUGCCUAGUUACAUUUCACGAACUCGGACUCAACUCAACGAGUUCGGACUUUCGCAUCCAUAAGUGAACUCGGACUCAACUCAACGAGUUCGGAUGCUCAACCAUCCUAGUGACAUGUCACUUGUAUCCUAAUCUAUUCCUAAGGUUCAAACGGGCUUUUUCCCUCGAUCUCACAUUUGCCGUCUUCCAUGGAAUAUCGGAACCGAUACUUGGUAGCAAUUCAUAUUUAUCAAGUAGUAAACAUAAUUUGCAUAUUACUCAAUAUUAACCACAAAGCAUAAUAUUUCAUGAUUAAAAAUCAGCAUAUCAUAUAAUUAACAUUAAUAACUUAAAAAUAACAUUUAUGCUACAUUAUUUACACAUGAACUUACCUUGGUACCAAAAUAUAAAGAUUUUGCAAUUUAGUCCACAAUCUUUUCUUUUCUUCGAUCGCGACUUGAAUCUCGUUUCUCUUGAUCUAUAAUGCCAAAUUAAUCUUAUUCAAUACAUACAUUCAUCAAAACAGCAUUUAAUACGAACUUUCAAAAAAUUACACUUUUGCCCCUAAACUUUUACAUAAUUACACUUUUGCCCCUAGGCUCGAAAAUUAAACUUUAUUCCUUAUUCUUAUGUUUUAUAACAUGCUGAUCAUUUUUCCCUUCUAUGGAAACAUCAAAUUCUUACUCUAACAUAUACUUGUGACUAUUAGGUAUUUUUGCCGAUUAAGCCCUUUUACUCGUUUUCACUCAAAACCGAGUAGCACAAGUUGUCUAACAUAAUUUAAAACCCCAUAUUCUAUCAUAAAACAUCAAAAUACACAAAUUUCACCUAUGGGUAUUUUUCAAAAUAUAAACCCUAGGUUGAAUUAUUGCUAACAUAAGCUUAAUCGAGCUACCGGGAUUCCAAAAACGUAAAGAACAUUAAAAACGGGGCUUGGAAUCACUUACUAUGGAGCUUGGAAGCUUGAAACAAACCCUAACUAUGGAGAACCCUUGAAAUUUCAGCCUAAUGAAGAAGAUGGACAAAAAUUGGCUUUUAAUUUUGUUUUUAAUUCAUUUUAAUAACUAAAUGACCAAAAUGCCCUUACUACUAAACUUUCCAAAAAUUCCAUCCAUGUCCAAUUUUUGUCCAUAGACUUAGAAAUUGGUUAAAUUGCUAUUUAAGACCUCCUAAUUAAUAUUUCAAUGCAAUUUCAUACUAAAAACUUCUAGAAUGCAAAUUUUGCAACUUAUUCGAUUUAGUCCCUACUUUCAAUUUAAACACUUUAGGCAUAGAAUUUCAUCACGAAUUUUUCACACAAUCAUGCAAUCAUAUCAUAUUCAUCAAAAUAAUUAUAAAAUAAUUAUUUCUAUCUCAGAUUUGUGGUUACGAAACCACUAUUCUAAUUAAGCCCUAAUUCAGGAUAUUACAUAUUGGGAUGCCCAUAAGAGCAGUUGUGUGUCUACAACACAUGCAGAAUCACAACCAAUCGGAAUGCUCCGAAGAGCUAUUAAUAGGAAGCUCGCAAGAACCAUAUAACUAGAAGCUCGAGAGGGCGAAUAAUGGGACGUUCUUUCGAGCUAUGGUGUGUCCGCAACAUAUGCAGGACCACAACCAAUUCGGGAACCCUAAAUCCAUCGAAUUUCAUUUAUUCAAUCGGGACUUAAUACUUAUCGAGCAUUAUUGGAUAUGUGACCAAUUUUCAUACAUGUAAAUUAUACAAUACACAUACAUAACAUUCAAUUUAAACAUAUAAAUAUACACAAUUUAGUUACAUGAACUUACCUUGACAAGUGUUCGUUGAUUUGUUGUCUAUUAAUCCGACACUUUCUCUUUUCCUCGAUCUAAUUCUGUAUUUUAUCUUUCGAGGUCUAUACGAGUAAAUUUAACUCAAUUUAAUACAAUUCAUAUUAAAUUCAAUUCAAUUCGCAUCUUAGGCAAAAUUACCAUUUUGCCCCUAUACUUUUAUUUAAUUACGAUUUUGUCUCUAGGCUCUGAAAAUAAAAUUCAUGCAAUUUAAUCCUUAUUCCAAGCCUAUUCAAUUUUUACAUGUCACAAUAGCAGCCCAUUUAUUUCAUAAAACUUAAAAUUUAUCCAUAAAUUUUACAACUUUUCAAUUUAAUCCCUAAAUCAUAAUUUCAUCAAAAUCCCUUUACAAAAGUUGUUUAUCUAUCAAUAGCCUUUCAUUUUCUACCAUAAAACUUCAUAAUUAAAUUAUAUUCAUCGAUGUAAAAACCCUAUUACUUUGAUAACUUUGCAAAUUAAUCCCCAAGAUAGCCAAAUUAUGCUAUUACGAUCUCUGAAAUAUAAAAAUUACUAAAUACGAGACUUGAAUACUCACCUAAUUGAGCCAAAUAAGCUUUCUACCUUAAAUAUCUUCUAACUAGGGUUUCCAUGUAAAUAUAUUUGGGAAAAAUGAUGAAAAAGAUGAUAUUUUCUUUAUUUAAUCAUUUAUCAUCUUUUAUUAUUUUUACUUUCCAAUUUAGUCCUUUUCUUUAUUUAAUUUUCCAUGGAUGACUAAGAAUACUUUUCUACUAACUCCUCUUAAUGGUCUAUUUUCCAUAUAAGGACCUCAAAUUUUGAAUUCCACAGCUAUUUGAUACUUAUAGCUACUAGAAUCCAACUUUUGUACUUUAUGCAAUUUGGUCCUUUCUAUUAAAUUAAACAUGUAAUCGGUAAAAUUUCUUUACGAAUCUUUUUUAUAUGAUAUUUCUAUCAUAAUUAAUACCAUAAAAUAAUAUUAAAAUAAUUUUUAUUUUAGGACUCGAAUUUGUGGUCCCGAAACCACUAUUAUAAUUUCACUAAAAACAAACAGUUAUAAUCUUCCUAUAAAAGGAAUUUAUUUUUCAUAACCUAGACAUGCAUGAAAUAAAUUUCAAACAUCAAAUAGUUGUCUUGUAAGAGUUGUGUGUACUACGGCAGUCAAAACUGUAGUACAGAAGCUAGGAUGGUGUUUGUAAGAGUGAAGUCCAUGGAAUUAGCAUUCAAUCCUACCAUUAAAUUGUGUGAGCUACGGACCAGAAUUAGGAGGAAAGUCAGGGGAUCGACCCAGGGAAGAAUUUCAAAGUUGGAAUGCAGAUUUCUUGCUUCUGUUGACCCCUAUAGGUAUGAGUUAUUGGUGAGGUCCAUCUCAAAACAGUCAUAUCAUUACACUACUCAAGUAGAAAUGUUGUAAUGAAGUUACACGCCGAGUUUACCAAAGCUGAUCGGUUUAGCCUAUUUUUUACCACCAUUACGGUGAAUAUGAAAAUCGAAGCUAAAGCAGUAAGUUCUACUACACAAUUGUGCGGUGAAUUCACUAGCAUAUUAUAAAACAAUUACUAUGAUGUUUCCAAAAAAUCUAUGGGCAGACACUCAUCGGUCUUUGGUACGGAUCUAAACUUCGGUGCCUAGUACCGAUUAGGAUUUGAGCAUAACCCAAAUCUUGACACUUGGGCUCGACAUUCAAUCAGUACGUUCAAUUUCAACUUCGGCACUAAGUUGAUGUCAUAGGGCAGAAGCAAUUAUACAUUGGGAUCAUUGACGUACACCAGACAUCAAACCGAUGUAUUUUUUGGCAGGAACAUAGGUUAUAAGAGAACCAAUAACCUACUCAUUUCGAUAGUGAUCGAUGAAGGUACGUCCAGCUCCUUGCUUAAAUGUGACAAUAAAAGCACAAAUGAGGAAAAAGAUAUGGUUUAUGAAGAACGUACCGGUGAGGAAGAAAGGGUGGCCAAGGAAGAAGAUUCAGAUAAGGAAGAAGGGGCAAUAGAUCUAGUUGAUGAGGAGAAAUCAGACCUAAGCCAAUCCGACAGUAUAGUCUAGAUGGUUCAAAAGUGGCACUAUCUUUUGAACUGGAGCCAGAACCUUACAAGUUUGUAGAUAACGCCUCAAAUAAUGGCUCAAAUCUAGAUCCAUAGUUCAGGGCAUAUGAACCUGUGCCCCACAUUACGAACAUCAACCUAUCGGUCAAGGGUGGUUUAGAGUUUUCGCAGCUACCGCACAAAACACAUGGCAUGCAAGCAUAUCUCGUGAUGUACGAGUAUUGGAAGUUAGAAUGGAAUACUCAAACAAAGAUGUUUUCAUUGCUACACUGAAGCGGUAUAGAUUCAAGAACGGCGUGAACUAUUACGUUACGAAGUCUGUUCUUAAAAGUUCAAAGGAAAGUGCACAAUGUGAGAUAGAAGGUGCAAGUAGAAAAUCAUGGCAUCUUUUCAUAAGAAAAUCGGGCUAUGAACGAUAAAAAAGUAUUCUGGUCCACAUACUUUUGUUGUGUUGGGAGCAAGUUAAGACUAUCUGAGACUAGACUCUGACAUGAUUUUUGACAUUAUUCUACCGAUGGUGAAGACGAGUCCCAAGAUUCUUGUCCCAAUGUUGAUUGCAAACAUUUGUAGCCAGUACGAGUACACUCUAACGUACUAUAAAGUGUGGGUUACAAAACAGAAGACUAUGGAUAAGUUGCAUCACGGGUGGGAUAGUUCAUACAACUAUCUAUGGAAAUAGUGUCAGGUAUUUGAUUGGUACGUACUAGGUUUCGUAAUCGAUCUAAAAAUGUACCUGGCAUACUUCGGUGAUCAAUUGGUCCUUGGAAAAAGAGUAUUUCAUCGAAUCUUUUGGACUUUCGAUCAAUACGGAGAAGCUUUUCGGCACAACAAGCCUUUAGUUCAAAUUGACAGCACCUGGCUGUACGGAAGGUAGCAACAUUAUCUGUUGAUUACUGUUACUCAGUAUGGUAAUCGGAGGAUUCUACCGAUAGCAUUUGUAAUAACUGUUGGAGAAACGACAGAUGAAUGGGAUUUUUUCCUAAGCAAACUAAAACACAUUCACAAUGUGUGGAGUCUUAAAUUCCCAACUAUCCCAGAUAAGAUAUGUAGCCACUGGUGUCUAGUGUGUUGUACGAAUUGGUGCCAAACAAGGACCUACGUCGCGUCCCCAAAGGUCACCCGAAUUUCACCCGAAUAAGGAACAAUAUGGGUAUUCGAGAGAAGGACAAUCAACAGAGGUUAUGCGAGUACUAUAGAAACCUAGGCAUACGGAUACAACAUGUUCUCAGUAUAGGGGCACAUUGUGGCUACAACGUCGAUAGCAUUAUUUUCUUCCAAAUAAAAUACUAAUUACAAUGUUUCCAUUAUUCAGGUGUUUCAAAUUUGUUAUCUCUUGUUAACUUACACAUAACUCAUGUUAGACAAUAACGAAAACAAAUGUGAUGUUCAAAUGAAAAACCUCGGUUUAUUUAUUUAUUCCAAAAAUAUAUAUUUAUAUCGUACUAUUUAGAAAAAAAUACAUCAAUCGUCUUAUCGGGGAAAAUGUGUGCGAUGGUUGUAUCACUAUCGACGUGUAAUAAUAAGGUGACCCAAAUCUCAGGUACAUUAGCAUUGUCCUCGGCAUCGACACUGACAUCGACUGCUGCAUGAGCAUUUGUAUUGGUGUUGUCAUCGGUGGUGAUGCAUGCACCGGCAUCUGACCGGACAUCUGGCUCAGCAUUAAUACUGGCAUGGGGGUGAAGAAUGCGAGGGACGUCAGUGCCUCGAAAUAUAUACCUAUGAGAACAGAAUAAUUGCCCACGUAUGGUAGUGGUGCGUAGUGUGGUGGCUUGUGAAUGAAACAUGGGGUUUGUGAAGUAAAAAAAGAACAAGUGAAGUGAACAGACUCGAUUAUUGUGUAAACAUAGGUGACGCUUCUUCUGCUGGAGUCGAUAAUGACCCGUCGUGCGAUCGCGUCCCCUUCUAUGUUGCUGCUGUGAUGGUCAUCAUUGCCUCUUUGGCCAAAUUUGCCUACUCCUCGCUUCCGACAAUAGCAGAUACUGUUUUCCGGUGACUUUGAACCGCGUCAUAUAAUCGGUAUCUACUGUCGUAUCCGUUGAGAAAAAUGGAUUGCGGACAAUUAAGGAUUCCAUCCUACAAUCCCAAGCCUGGACGUGCUCAUUGUGCUUCUCUACCUAAUCUUCGUCGUUCUUCCCUAGCAUGUCCACCUUAUGCAGCUCAUUCAUGUCUCGCGGUGGCGGUGGAAUUCAUUGCCUCCACUUGAACUACCGUAACACCCAAAUCAUGCAUUUCCACUGUCGCGUACACUAUCAAUGGCACCUUUGUGCCCUACAUAUCUCGGUUUACAAACACUUCUGGCAGGAUGCAAGAUAUGAUAUUAGUGUCGGCAUACAAUAUACAUUUAAACUAAAAAGUAGAAUUACAAAUAUCGUUACGUACAAUUUUUUUACUAAUCAUUGUGUAAUUAAUAUAAGUUAGAAAUAAUAAGUAACUAACCUCGGCUUUGGAGCAUUGAUUUAAUAGUAGCCUAAAAUCUUCAAGCUCCUCCGGCAAUCCCGCGUAACUCGGCCCAUGGUUCAACCUGUACAGGCGAUACAUUAGUCGAAAAUAUAAUAAAUAAAAACAUUUAUCAUACAAACUACAUAUUUAUUAAUAAAUUUAAAAGUUUUACCUCGUCACCAACUGGAACACGUAUGGGUCGGCCACUCUAGGACGUAAAAAUGGUAGUUGCCACUAGGCCCACGACUGCAAUAGGAGCAAACAACCACCGAUCCAUGUCAUAUUUGAUACUGUGGCUCGACACAGCUCCCAAUAUAACGUGGACAAGACAAUAGACCCCCAACUUAGUUUUUAGCAUUCAGUGAAGUCCACUAGAUGUAGUAGCCGCCUAACGUGCACCAAAUUUUGAGAUUUAUCAAGCAUUAAAAUUCCCCUGAUUAACCUCAUGAUGAAUGUUCAAGCGUAUUGUUUUAUAACCUUCUCCGUUGGGUCUUCAAGAAGCUUUUCGAAAUUAUCCUCCAACCAGUUAAUCGAUAUUCGACCAUCGUCAAACAUGUUCGGGACCUUCCCUAACAUUGCUUUAUAGAGGUCCAUUUUACUGGGAACGACUGAGGAUCCUGUGACAAUUGGCCCAUCCAUCGGUAGACCGAGUUGUAACGCUACGUCCUCGAGUGUGAUUGUACACUUGCCGUAUGAAAGGUGGAAAAUGUGUGCUUCGAGCCUCCAUCUUUCACCAAUGCGCUGAUUAGUGUAGGAUCGAGUUUACAGCCCCUGAGCAUGUGAGAUGUAUGCAAGAAUCCAACCUCUUGCAAGUAGCCACGAAUUUGAGGGAUGGGAGGCUUUCUUAUAUUAUGUAUGAACGCCUCCAAAACACGAUCAUCCGCCUAUUUAUAACAUAAAAAAUUAUUUCAAAUUAUUAAAAAUAAUUAAUUAAAUUUAACAUAAUUGAAAAUAACAAAAUUUAAAAUUUCAUCAUACCAUUGCUGAUUGGGAGACAGAAAUAUGCUUGUUGUCGAAAUGAAUCAAAGAGAUGAUUAUUCGUGAGAAAUUAAUUCGAACAAAUAAAAUAUAAUAUAAUUAAAAAUAAUAAUAUUUUUAGAUGAGGAUAUCAAUAAAUGUAGAACAAAAAGAUUGGAAGAGAUUGAGAGAAUUGAAAGAAAGAUAGGAAUGAAAAAUAAAAUAAAAUUUGAGAGGAAUUUAUAGGAUAAAAAAGGAAGGAGAUAUUUAUAAAGUAAAAAAAAGUUACCUUGACCCAUUAAUUUUUUUUACCAAGUGAAAGAAAAGAAAUUGUUAUGCAAAGAAAUCCUCUCCCCAACUGGAUUCCGUUGUUAAAGAAUUGGGUCAACUGAAGUCUUACUGCUAUAUUCUAUCCAUGAAAUGCACUGCAUUUUCUCUUUGGAGCCUCCUUUACUCUUAAUUCUUUAUUUCGCUUCGGGGAUAUUAGUAGAUUAAAGUAAUUUGCAUCUGAAUAAACUCAUGUUACUAUCAAAAUUUUCAAAUUUUGGAAAGAUAAAAAGAUGAAAUCCAUUUUACAGUGAAUCUCUCCUACGUAUAUUCGGAUAUAUUUUACAUUGACGAAUUACGAAAUCUAAAAGGAAGUAGGCGGCACGGUCAUGGUUGCGUAACCAACCAAACCAAAGGACUUUUAUUUUUUAAAAACAGGUCAAGAUUUAGUGGCGUCACCUUCUUCAGCUCCUCCAAAAGCAGAGGAAAAACAAACCUCAUCUCCACAAUCAAACGUUCCACCACCAGAAAUGGUUCCUCCCUCCUCCUCUAUGGAUCCUUCUCCUCCUCCUUCCUGGUUCACUCCCAAACGGUAAAACUUCUUUCUUUAAAAAAAAAGAAAAGAAUAGAAAAUCAAUUUUAACCUUCUUUUUUU